rnacentral:lncRNA from 1 species
UACCUGAUCCUCCGGCACGUGCGCUGCCUGAAAAUAAUGAGCCUAUACUGCCAUUGCCAAAACAGUCACCACAAAGGGUAUGCCGCCAUUUCUAUAUUUGUAUUUGCAUACAUUUAGAUACAUGAUUUUAUUUCUUCAGAGUUAUACUAUAUAAUUAGCGGCCAGAUGGGCUUAUCAUGAGAAACCUGCUUGAUUUUGCCAAAGGAAUUUGGUUUUCACCCCCCUUGCUCUUUUCCUUUUCUUGACUAUCCUUUUCUGGAGACCCAUCAUUUUUCCUGGCUUCAUGUGGCUGGACAUGUUUAAGCAGCAAUUAUGGUUAGAUAGUAUUUUGUAGAUGUUUUUGUCCAACCCAGAACAUCACUACCCGUUUGAAGCUUUUAAAGCCAGGAUCUUAACACUUGUUAGAGGAUCAUACUGGAUUCUUCGCAACUAGUUUACUACCAUACUAUUAAAAUGAUCAAAUGUGAAAUUAGGUUUUGAAUUUGGCUGGUUACUGCUUACUUGACCAGUUUGUUGUCUAAUUAACCGCCUCAUAACUCUGUUUAUCAGCUCAAGUUAAAAUAUUUCUCAGUUUUCUGAUUGAUAGAUGCCGUCAACUUGCCAUAUACACAUCUAAUCAUCUUGUUUCUUAAUGCAAAAUAAGGGAUCCUCGCUUUUGCUUUACACCUUUUCUUACGCCAAACUUGCUUUUGAAAUGAACAUCGUUAAACCUAGUAGGCAUAUGUCCUCAUAACAACUUUCUGAAAUCUCAUAGCAUCUUGUCUAUCUUUCUGUGCUCAUGAUUAGGCCUGUCCUUAUUAUGUUGUCCCUCACUUUAUUUUCAGCACAAUGGAGCUGGUUCACAGGGCCACCACAACUAUAGGGGCCGUGGAAGGGGUAGAGGCAGUGCGGUAUGCCACAUGCACUCACAGUAUAUCUUGUUUUUUUUGUUCGCGUUGUCUAUAUUGAAUGCUAUAUUGAUCCUGCAUNNNNNNNNNNNNNNNNNNNNNNNNNNNNNNNNNNNNNNNNNNNNNNNNNNNNNNNNNNNNNNNNNNNNNNNNNNNNNNNNNNNNNNNNNNNNNNNNNNNNUGUUCUUGGACGUGUGGCUCCAAACAAUCUGCCGGCCGCCGCCAAAACAAUUAAUCCUUCCCACCGAUCUGCUCUAGGGUUUGGUUACUCUAGCUAAUCAACAGGACUACCUCAUGCAUGACGGCCGGCUAAGGGCCGGAGGAUAGUGAUCUGGACAACGGAACAGACGACGCCGACGAACAGCGGAUGACUGGCCCCUACGUUUCUCACGGCAGACAUCGAUCAACAGGUAGUGGUGUCUUCAAUCUUCUUUUCUGACCAGAUAGGUACAUGCCCUAGAAGAUCAAUCGGAUUUGCCUCAUGCGCAUGGGCAAAAGCAACGUACGUACGUGCACCUCAUAGGUAUCUAACUUUUGACUGCUUCUAUUCCUAUGAGUACGUACAACUUACAGUAUCUAGGUUUGUAUGCCAUUAAUUACUGGAUUGAUCCAUAUGUUUUGGACGCCGGUAGAACUAACCAACAAAGAAAAAUACGAUCAGAUAUUGAUCAAUGAUAGGUGUGUAUAUCUCAAUAUGCAUGCUGCAUUCAUUUAAUUUUAAUACUAUGAACGCAAGGCGUUUCAGUUUUGUACAAUAUGGCAUGUGUGCGUAUCUGACUUUUCUCUAGGUACAGACACAAAUUCGUCAAGCAUGCAUAGCAAAGCUAUGUCUUCUUUUUCAGAACACAAGUACAGUAUUAAGCAAGCACCCAAACAAGCAUAAAGAAGAUGAGGAAACUAUUGUCGUACUCAAGAAGGAUUAAGUUUUUCUGAUGAUUUAUUCUUAUUCGAGAUAAUCAUGCAUACAUGCUUCUAGGAUACCACUAUUGUUACAUUUUCUUUAUUUACUGUUGAAUCUGAAGGAAAGAGACUUCAGAUAGAGGGUAGUUUUGGGCUGAGAAUAUUUCAGAUAAAAUUUAAUUCGCCAAGAGUUUCAGUCACAAGGAAAACAUUCAAUCAUUAUAAAACUUUCGUCCUACACAUGGUUUGAUGUUAUGACUAUUAUUUCCUUUUAUUUUGUGCAACACUGAUUAUUUUUUGAGAGUUGGGAAUAUGAGCUACUUCAUUAUUUACAUGGACGGUUAGAUAAUUAAGACUGAAUUAUUGUGGACAUAACCAUAGCUUUAACUAGCAGUAUGGUUAUAGUAAUUCUGUCUAUAUUAAUCCUUCCCAUUGAUCUGCUCUAGCUAAUCAAUACGACUGCCUCAUGAAUCUCAGUGGAACAGACGACGCCGACGAACAGCGGAUACCAGGCGCCUACUUUUCUCACGGCAGAAAUCAAUCAGCAGGUAGUGGUUUCUUCAAUCUUCUUUUCCGAACCACAUAGGUACAUGCCCUAGAAGAUGAAUCGGAUUUGCAUCAUGCGCAUGCGCAAAAGCUACAUAAGUACAUUACCUCAUAGGUAUCUAACUUUUGACUACUUCUAUUCCUAUGAGAUGUACGUACAGCUUACAGUAUCUAGGUUUGUAUGCCAUUAAUUAUUGGAUUGAUCCAUAUGUUUCGGACGUCGAUAGAACUAAUCACCAAAGAAAAAUAAGAUCAGAUAGUGAUCAAUGAUAGGUGUGUAUAUCUCAAUAUGAAGGCCGCAUUCGUUUAAGUUUAAUACUAUAAACGCAAGGCGUUUCAACUUUCAUCUUCAAGUUUCAGUUUUGUACAGUAUGGCAUGUGUGCGUAUCUGAUUUUUCUCUAGCACUAGUAGAAAAGGGGGCAUCAGUCCCGGUUCGUAAGGGCCUUUAGUCCCGGUUCUUGAACCGGGACUAAAGGGUCGUGACUAAUGCCUCCACCCUUUAGUCCCGGUUCUAACACGAACCGGGACAGAUGGGCCUCCACGUGGCCACUGCGAGCAGUCCAGGCAAGGGGGCCUUUGGUCCCGAUUCGUGACAUGAACCGGGACCAAAAGGCUUCCACUUGUCAGCAGCUGAGGUUUUUCUUUUUUUUUNNNNNNNNNNNNNNNNNNNNNNNNNNNNNNNNNNNNNNNNNNNNNNNNNNNNNNNNNNNNNNNNNNNNNNNNNNNNNNNNNNNNNNNNNNNNNNNNNNNNUUGACUUGCUGACGUCAUGCCAACGUCAUGCUGACGCAGUAAUGUUUUCUGGAUUUAAUUUAAUUCUGAAAAUUCCAGAAAAUGCCUAAAACUUCUAAAAUUCAUAGAAAUUCAACCGUAACUCCAAAUUAAAUAAUUUAUAUAUGAAAAAUUAUCAGAAAAAUUCAAGGAAUCCAUCUGUACCAUUUUCAUGCAUGUUAGAACAACUUAUCACUACUGUUUAGGGCAAAUGAAGUAAAUGGCAUUUGAAUAAUCACAUAUGGAGUUUGAAUUUGAAUCUUGUAUUCAAACCAACUUCAUUUAAUCUGUUGUUAGUUGCAUUAGCUCAAACACAUUCAUUUUGCCAUGUCAUGAUCAUGCAUCAUAUUGUGCAUUGCAUUGAUUGUGUUCCCUUUUGUGUUGCCGGUAUUUGUCCCCUCUCGAUAGACGUGAUACCGUUGAUGUGAUCGUUGACACCGAUGAAGACUCAAUGCUAUCUUCAGAAGUGCCAGGCAAGCAAAACCCCCUUGUUCAUUCCGAUACAAUCCUACUCUCUCGCCCCUGCUCUCUUUUAAUGCAUUAGGACAACACCGAUUUAUCUGUUACUUGCUGCGGUAGCCGAACCCCUUUAUCCUUUGCAUGACCUGUCAUUGCCACAGUAAAUAGAUGAAACCCACUAGCAUGAGUAGGAGUUGUUUGAGCCCUGUUGUGCCUACUCAUUCAUGUUUGUUUGUCAUGCCUGCUACUGCUUAGAGUUGAGUCAGGUCUGAUUCAUCGGGGAUGAAUCAGAGGCGUGUGAACAUGUCCUACUGUGUGUGAGCUAAGUGUGUGAACACGAUUUGGUAAAGGUAGCGGUGAGAGGCCAUGUAGGAGUGCAUGGUGGGUUGUCUCAUUGCAGCUGUCCUCAGGAACUGAGUUCUGUGUUUGUGAUCCAUGAUUCAGUUACUACCAUACAUUGGGCCCUGAAAUAUGACCCCGCUCGACUUCUUAUUCACCCUUGUCCUCUGUCCAGGAGUUGCAAGUAGUUUCUGGUGUUUGUAGCUUACUGGAGGCCGUGGACAGCGCUGACCGUAGGGGUGGGCUGUGAUGCGGUAGGUACGUGGCACGGUGUACCGGAUGCCCGUUUGGUAUCUCGGGAACCCUGUUCACAUCGUUUGGGGCUGUGAGCGAAACUCCGGCCGGAUCUCCUCAUGGAUGGAACCCGAAUAGGCGAUAAACCUGGACUAGAGACUUGAGUGUUUAGGUAGGUCGUGGUCUACACCCACGUCGGCUUUCGCUUGAAGUCUGCCGAGCACAUGUCGUGUGCAGACGCUAAGUGGUGGAAACAUGUAUGAAGAAGUACACCCCUGCAGGGAUAUCAUCAUCUAUUCGAAUAGCCGUGUCCGCGGAAAAGGACUUCUGGGUUGCUUAUAUCAGUUCAUAGACAAGUGAAAGUGGAUACUCUAAAAUACGCAAGAUAAGCGUGAGUGCUAUGUAUGGCAUUCUCGUAGGGAGACGGGAGUGGAUCCAUAGUGGUGUAUUGAUAUGGUGAAUAUGUGGACUCGUGUGCGCCACCUCAAAAAGUUACUUGCAGUCGUAGUUUAGGAUAGCCACCGAGUCAAAGCUGGCUUGCUGCAGUUAAACCCCACCACCCCUUUGUUGACAAUGAUGCAUAUGUAGAUAGUUCUGAUGUAAGUCUUGCUGGGUACAUUUGUACUCACGUUUGCCUAUUUUAUGUUUUUGCAGAGAGACUUCAGUCUCACUAGUAAUUCCGUGUGGACUUCGACGUUUAGCUUGAUACCUCAGCUACGAUCUUGUGCCCUCGGCAGGAUCUGAUAGAUAGUCAGGCUUCUCAGCCUUUUUCAUUUAUAGUUGUCUGUACUCAGACAUGAUAGCUUCCGCUUGUGCUUUGACUUGUAUGCUCUGAGUGUUGGGUCAUGAGACCCAUGUUUGUAAUAUNNNNNNNNNNNNNNNNNNNNNNNNNNNNNNNNNNNNNNNNNNNNNNNNNNNNNNNNNNNNNNNNNNNNNNNNNNNNNNNNNNNNNNNNNNNNNNNNNNNNCCCGGACGCACUUCCUUGCAUGCGAAGAUGUAGCUGGUGGGUCCCAGAAGUUAGGGGGGCGAAUCGUUUUUUCGGACGGACUUCCUUGCGUGCGAAGAUGUAGCUGGUGGGUCCUAGCAGACACGGGGGAACGUUUUUUCGUGAAAUACGGUGGCCCGUUAGGUGGAUCCCUGCUGUCAGGUGGAGGAAUAAUUAUUUUGCACGUAAUAAGGAGGCACUUCCUUGCUGCGGCCGUGGACCCAGCUGUCAGCCUCUCCACGUACAGUCCACGUCCGAUGGAAGCCAUUCCUUGACCACGUUGACCACGCCGCGCCGAGAGCACCAGGGCGGUGGACGACGGCGAGGCCUAGGAAGGGGACGACACGGAGCCGGGGAAGACGCGGCAGUGGAUGCCCACGCGUAGAGGAGUAUGAGGGUUCACUCGUUCGGCUGCGGUGUGAGGCUGCCGUCGCCGCAGAAUAAUAGGGGGUGUGGGUGUGUAGAGGGAUGGCCUGGCCAGCGGUGGGUGUAGUAGGGGGCGGUGAGGCCUCCGCGGCAUCACAGCCGGCCACGGGCGGCAGGAGCAGGCGGCACGAUCGGCGCUGCUUUGGGCGGCUGGAGCAAGAAGACCAGAGGUUGAAGAAGCACUACGGCCGCUGGAUGGACAUCGUAUGGUCAUUGGAGCUAGAAUCGUUCAUAUAUUGACUAAAGUUGACAAAGGCCUCCGUCCCAGUCAACUUAGUAGGCCCACAAGUCAGCCUCCCACCAAGGUUGGUCCCAGCUAGCAGGGGGUAUUCAUUUUUUUGUGCGUAAUAAGGAGGCACUUCCAGUGGGUCCGAGCUGACAUCAGGGGGAAUGUUUUUUUUCAUGAAAUACGGUGGCUCGUCCUGUGGGUCCCAGCAGUCAGGGGGAAACGUUUUUUUCGCGAAAUACUGGUGGCCCGUCCGGUGGGUCCUUGCUGUCAGGUGGAGGAAUAAUUAUUUUCCGCGUAAUAAGGAGGCACUUCCUUGCGGCUGCCGUGGACCCAGCUGUCAGCCUCUCCACAUACAGUACUCUUCCGAUGGAAGUCGGUCAUUGACCACAUUGACCACGCCGCACCGAGAGCACCACGGCGGUGGACGACGGCGAGGCCUAGGAAGGGAAGAUGCGGAGCCGGGAAAGACGCGGAAGUGGAAGCCCGCGCGGAGAGGAGUAAGAGGGUUCACCGGUUCGGCUGCGGUGUGAGGCUGCCGUCGCCGGAGAAUAACAGGGGGUGCUGGUGAGUAGAGGGAUGCCCUGGCCAGCGGUGGGAGUAGUAGGGGGCGCCGAGGCCUGCACGGCAGCACAGCCGGCCACGGGAGGUGGUAGGCAGUCCCGCCGGCGCUGCUUUGGCGGUUGGAGCAAGAGGAUCAGAGAUUGAAGAAACACGACGGCCGUUGGAUUGACAUCCAAUGGUUACGUCUGCUAGAAUCGUUUGUUGACGUAGUAUAUAAUAAUUAAAAAAAUCUUGCAUACUCAUCAACUAAACAGGCCCACAAGUCAGACCACUCCCUCUUUUUUUAAUAAUUUAUAUAUAGCUCAUGGCAACUUCUUAUGCAAUUUAUUGCAGUCGUUUUUUUUGGUUGGCCAGGGCCAAUUUCGCAUAUUUAUGUGGGUUCCAAACUAUUUUUAAUACCGAAAUGUCGAGCCAUAUUUAAAGUACUUUGAAGCUACAUUUAAAUUAGGUUAAUGCCCAAUGAAAUAGGAAUCUGAAAAUGUGAAAAAAUCAGAAAUUAUAAAGUAAUUGCCAAUUUGUCAUCUGUUUUUAUAUUUACAACCCAUUUCAUAUUACUUUCAAGAUUUGUAGGCGUCUUGAAAGAGUUGCAGCCCAUCAGGGCGUAGAAAAAUAAGUAGGCCUGGAUUGGGUAUUCUUCAGAAAAAAUAAACUGGGCUCAUUUUCACAAAAAAAAUUGCUGGGCUNNNNNNNNNNNNNNNNNNNNNNNNNNNNNNNNNNNNNNNNNNNNNNNNNNNNNNNNNNNNNNNNNNNNNNNNNNNNNNNNNNNNNNNNNNNNNNNNNNNNACUUCUGUUUUGUUUUGGUAAUCUUUCCUCACAGCGAAUCCAAAGAUAUUACUCCACUUAUUGAAGUUAAUAUAUGUGCUCUGUUAUUCGAUAACAGUUCUGACAAACAGCCACUAAUUUCAGAAGUUAAUAUAUAUCCCCUACUAUUCGAUAACAAAUCUGAAACACGACCACUAAUUUCAGACCAUCAAACUAUCCAACUUGUAAAUGAUCCACUUUUGAAAGGGUGCUGCUCUCAGUACAUGUCUACAUCUGUACUCGUCAGCUCAUGUCCGCUUGAUUGUAAUAAAAAAUUAUAAAUCCUUCUGUUUUGGGAAGCAGAUUUUGUAAACAGAAGCACUGAACUUCCACAAUGUAUGGCAGUGGCGCUUUGUAUUCUUGUUGCUUAUACAAGUACAUCUGUUUCCACCUUAAAGGAAAAAUGCACCUAGACAUUCUAAAACAAAAAUAACAAGUGAUGAAAUUCCAGGUGGAGGCCUGUACAACAGAAUCCGUGCCACCCAUCUUGAAGUGCAUCCAUAAUCAAAACAUUGUCAACACCAGAAAUAUAUUAUCUGUUCACAACAACAAAUAUCUAAUAAACCUUAUGUUUAAAUUCGUUAUGUGAUCAUAAGAGUUUCAGUGAAAAAUAUUGGGCUCUAAAUGAUUCAUAUGACACUUUGUUCUUCGCAGUGUAAUGACCCCAUACUACAGUGAGGAAACUGCAAUUCAAGAAACGACCUUGAUCUCGAGAAUGAGGAUAGUGUAUCAGUUAUAUUCUACCGGCAGAAGAUCUUUCUAGGUUCCUUUCCCGUUUGUUCUUCAGCGUAGUUGAUCCUAAUUUAUGAUAUUCACCGAGGAUUAUAGAUAACUUUGCUCAGUCGUGGAUCAUGGUACCUUCACCUGUUCUCGACAUUUCUUCUUUCAGAUUUGAUGUUAGCUUGUACAAGUUGCUGGGUUGUGCUUAGAUGUUAUGGUUUCUCUGCUAUUUAGAAAGUACACUUAACACUCAUAAAGUACACUGAUCUCAGCCUAACCUAAAAUAUUUAACCCGUCAGGUUUAAAGUUUGACGUAGGAAGGGCACACAAGUUGAUGUUUGCAGUUACAGAUUUUUGCCAAAGCCCGCUGAAACGAAGUUUAGUUCAGCAGACCAUAUAUGUUGGAAGAAAGCAAAUUUCUUGCCUUCCGAAUCCUCCGAAGCCAUCAUAUUUUAUUUCAGACCGAUUUGUCCCAGCUCAGUGUAUCUCUGGUAAAAUACGAACAACAUUGUUUUUACUUUUUUUAGGGGCUGUCACAAAAGGAAAAAUGACCAAGACUGCAUCUGUCAUGUUUUUUUGCUAGAUUGUUAAUUUCAAUUCAUUUUUGAUAUUGCAGUAUGGAGGUUUCGCCAAAUACAUGUUCUAUUGUGGUUUAUUUUCCACUAUUGUUGGGCCUCGUUUCUUUAUUUGCAUCAUCGGAUGUGUAAUGGUAUAUUGGCCAUGAUCCAGCCAUUUCCAUCUACCAAAUAUAUAUUGUUAGCUUAUUGUAUUUGUGAAAUUACACUAGCCUGUGUAUUAUGGAGGAACUGUGCUAAACUGCUAAUGUAGCUGCAACAGCUUGAUAUAUGUUCUGCUACCACAGAUGUCACUUCCUUCUUAAGUAUGUGUAUAGUUCUCAUCAAUAGAUGUUUUCUUCGCCGCCUGCUGUUUUCCGUAGUCUUAAGAAUGAUAUUUACCUGACUAAAAAGCCAAUAGCUCAUAAUAUUGUUAAUUCCAGUCGCUUGGUUAAUUACCGUUGUACAGUAUAAUUCAGAGAAUACUAUUGUGUUUGUUUAUUCAGAGAAAACGCUUGAUAGGUGGGGAUUCGGAAGAAGCAACUAAUAGAUAGGGCGAGCCUUGAAUAUAUAUAUAUAUAUAUAUAUAUAUAUAUAUAUAUAUAUAUAUAUAUAUAUAUAUAUNNNNNNNNNNNNNNNNNNNNNNNNNNNNNNNNNNNNNNNNNNNNNNNNNNNNNNNNNNNNNNNNNNNNNNNNNNNNNNNNNNNNNNNNNNNNNNNNNNNNAUAUGACAGUGUCGCUAGCAUCCAUAUGAUAAGGAGCCCGGGCUGACAUGGCUAGUCGUAAACCCAAAGUGGCACAAACUUACAGGGACAGGCAUCCAUGACCCAGCAUCGAACGUGUCGGUCAUCAGCGAGUGAAUCCAGGCUGUAGCACUGGGCUAGCAGGACUCCGGUGAACCGGGCUGUAGCGGGCUAACAGGACUCCGGUAUCCAUCGCGUGACAUUUCCCCGAAGGGACAGACACAGGAACGAAGAAGGACACAUGCCGGCCAGCCUAAGUGUUCCGGAGCAGUAGCAAGCUACCCUGGCUCGGUGGAAACACUAGGAGACAUUUCCCGGUAAGAGAGGCUACUAAGGAUAAACAACUAGAUAGUCAGAUCCCACACAUACCAAGCAUUUCAAUCAUACACACAAUAUGCUCGAUAUGUGCAAAUACAACAAGUCAUCACAACAUGACUCUACGACACAACUAAGUAUUCAAUAGGCUCCGAGGAGCGAGAUAUUACAAACAGGGGUCUCACGACCCAACAUUCAGAGCAUACAAAUCAAAGCACAAGCGGAAGCUAUCAUGUCUGGGUACAGACAUCUAUAAAUGGAAAAGGCUGAGAAGCCUGACUAUCUACCAGAUCCUGCCGGGGCACAAGAUCGUAGCUGAGGUAACAAGCUAAACUUCGAAGUCCACGCGGAACUACUAGUGAGACCGAAGUCUCUCUGCAAAAACAUAAAAUAGGCAAACGUGAGUACAAAUGUACCCAGCAAGACUUACAUCAGAACUAACUACAUAUGCAUCAUUAUCAACCAAGGGGAUGGUGGGGUUUAACUGCAGCAAGCCAGCUUUGACUCGGUGGCUAUCCUAAACUACGACUGCAAGUAACUCUUUUGAGGUGGCGCACACGAGUCCACAUAUUCACCUUAUCAAUACACCACUAUGGAUCCGCUCCCGUCUCCCUACGAGAACGCCAUCCAUAGCACUCACACUUAUCUUGCGUAUUUUAGAGUAUCCACUUUCACUUGUCUAUGAACUGAUAUAAGCAACCCAGAAGUCCUUUACCGCGGACACGGCUAUUCGAAUAGAUGAUGUUAACCCUGCAGGGGUGUACUUCUUCAUACAUGUUUCCACCACUUAGCGUCUGCACACGACAUGUGCUCGGCAGACUUCAAGCGAAAGCCGACGUGGGUGUAGACCACGACCUACCUAAACACUCAAGUCUCUAGUCCAGGUUUAUCGCCUAUUCGGGUUCCAUCCAUGAGCAGAUCCGGCCGGAGUUUCGCUCACAGCCCCAAACGAUGUGAACAGGGUUCCGUGACACCAAACGGGCGCCCGGUAUACCCGGCCACGUGCCUACCGCAUCACAGCCCACCCCUCCGGUCAGCGCUGUGCACGGCCUCCAGCAUACUACAAACACCAGAAACUACUUGCAACUCCUGGACAGAGGACUUGGGUGAAUAAGAAGUCGAGCGGGGUCAUAUUUCAGGGCCCAAUGUAUGGUAGUAGCUGAAUCAUGGAUCACAAACACAGGACUCGGUUCCUAAGGACGGCUUCAAUGAGACAACCCACCAUGUACUCCUACAUGGCCUCUCACCGCUACCUUUACCAAAUCGUGUUCACACACUUAGCUCACACACAGUAGGACAUGUUCACACGCCUCUGAUUCAUCCCCGAUGAAUCAGACCUGACUCAACUCUAAGCAGUAGCAGGCAUGACAAACAAGCAUGAAUGAGUAGGCACAACAGGGCUCAAACAACUCCUACUCAUGCUAGUGGGUUUCAUCUAUUUACUGUGGCAAUGACAGGUCAUGCAAAGGAUAAAGGGGUUCAGCUACCGCAGCAAGUAACAAAUAUGUCGUUGUUGUCCUAAUGCAGUAAAACAGAGCAGGAGCGAGAGAGUGGGAUUUUAUUGGAAUGAACAAGGGGGUUUUNNNNNNNNNNNNNNNNNNNNNNNNNNNNNNNNNNNNNNNNNNNNNNNNNNNNNNNNNNNNNNNNNNNNNNNNNNNNNNNNNNNNNNNNNNNNNNNNNNNNGGCUGCAAUGAGACAACCCACCAUGUACUCCUACAUGGCCUCUCACCGCUACCUUUACCAAAUCGUAUUCACACACUUAGCUCACACACAGUAGGACAGGUUCACACGCCUCUGAUUCAUCCCCGAUGAAUCAGACCCGACUCAACUCUAAGCAGUAGCAGGCAUGACAAACAAACAUAAAUGAGUAGGCACAUCAGGGCUCAAACAACUCCUACUCAUGCUAGUGGGUUUCAUCUAAUUACUGUGGAAUGACAGGUCAUGCAGAGGAUAAAGGGGUUCAGCUACCGCAGCAAGUAACAGAUGAAUCGAUGUUGUCCUAAUGCAGUAAAAGAGAGCAGGAGCGAGAGAGUGGGAUUUUAUCGGAAUGAACAAGGGGGUUUUGCUUGCCUGGCACUUCUGAAGAUAGCAUUGAGUCUUCAUCAGUGUCAACGAUCACAUCAUCGGUAUCACGUCUAUCGAGAGGGGACAAAUACCGGCAACAUAGAAGGGAACACAAUCAAUGCAAUGCACAAUAUGAUGCAUGAUCAUGACAUGGCAAAAUGAAUGUGUUUUGGGCUAAUGCAACUAGCAACAGAUUAAAUGAAGUUGGUUUGAAUACAAGAUUCAAAUUCAAACUCCAUAUGUGAUUAUUCAAAUGCCAUUUAAAUGAUUUGUGCUAAACAGCAGCUAUAAGUUGUUCUAACAUGCAUGAAAAUUGUACAGAUGGAUUUCUUGAAUUUUUCUGAUAAUUUUUCAUAUAUAAUUUAUUUCAUUUGGACUUACGGUUAAUUUUCUAUGAUUUUUAGAAGUUAUAGGCAUUUUCUGGAAUUUCAGAAUUAAAUUAAAUCCAGAAAACAUUACUGCGUCAGCAUGACGUUGGCAUGACGUCAGCAAGUCAACAGGGGCCGGCUCGGGUCAAACCUGACCAGUGGGGCCCACUAGUCAGUGACUACGGCUAAUCCUAAUAUAAUUUAAACCUAACCUAGUUUAAUUAGUCGGCCCGGGCCCGCAUGUCAGUGAGUCAGUGGCUUAAUUAAACUUAGUUAUUAAUUUAACCAAAGGUUAGCAGGGGACGGGCCCACACGUCAGUGACCCAGGGGGGUCAAAUCCCUGGUCAACCCGGCUAAUCCACCGGCGUCUAACCGCCGGCAACGACCAGACGCGGCGGUGGCUCGCCGGAAUGGCUGCUCCGGCGCCCAUUCGACGCGCGGAGGGGUUCUACAGGGAGCUCGAGCUCGUGCGCAUCCAAUGGAGCAAGCCAGAGGAGUUGGGGUUGGCUGUGGCGUCGGCAGCAGCGAGGGAGGCGGCGGCCGGAGUUCGGGCGAGGUCGGGGUUGGCGUUAGGGGGCACGGGAGGGAAAGCUAGUGUGUGUGUUAGGUUCCUGGUGAGGUGUGGAGCACGUUGCCGUGCUCGGUAGCUAGCUCCGGUGGCUCUGGCCUUGUCCGCGUCAUCGCCGGCGGCGAGGAGCUCACGGCCCCGGCGGAAAGGGCGGCUAGUGUGCGGGAACGAGCGCGGGGAGGAGGGGAAAUGGAAGAGGAGCUCACAUAGACCCUGUAGAGGUGGACGGCGAGCUUGAGGAAGGCCGGACGGCGACGAAUUUGACGACGGCGAUCCUCGGUGGCCGAGGAGGGGAAAAAACGUUGGGGCGGUGCUUCGGGGCUCUUCCGGUCACGUGGCUCGGUGAGGGGGUUGGCGACGAGGUGCAGGAGCUCGGGAGCACGUCGGGGAGGAGAGGGGGUGGCGGUGGCCGCGAGGGAGCUCGUCGGUGGCGGCGGCUCCGUUCGGUCCGGGCGAGAGAGAGGGAGCAGAGGAGAGAGGGGAUGCAGCGGGGGAGGAAGAGGAGCGAGGGGACACGAGGCCUCGUCGUGGCGUCGCUAGGGAGGCCGGGGGGGAAGCAGGAGGUGGCCGGGAAGCAGGAGGUGGCCGGGGCGCGUGGCNNNNNNNNNNNNNNNNNNNNNNNNNNNNNNNNNNNNNNNNNNNNNNNNNNNNNNNNNNNNNNNNNNNNNNNNNNNNNNNNNNNNNNNNNNNNNNNNNNNNGCCACUAGCGGGGCUCCCCAGCCGCAGCUGCUUGCCGUAGGUGACGUGGACAAGCGCGACGGAGGCGACGGACACCGUGGUGCAGCGCGGGGACGACGAUGGACGCGAGGGCGACGACAAGUGGAGGCGAGAGCUCUCGGGACAGAGAGAGAGAAGCGAGCGAAUUCGCUGGAGAGGGAGGAGCGAAGGGAGGAGUGCGGCGAGGAGGACUAGGGGAGAGGGAGGGAGCGUGCUUAUCCCCUCAGCUCACCUGCCCCGUCGCGGUGGCGAGCUGCGGGCGGCGCGGCGCGGCUCUGUCCACGGCGGCGUCGACACGGGGGGAGGGGAGCAGGUAGGAGAACAGAGGUUGGGCCGGCUGGGCUCGGCCCAAAACAGUUAAGUGGCCUCUGGCCUUUUCUAUUUUCUAUGUUUUUCUUUUAUUAUGAUAGCAGAGGGAGAGAUGGAAUUAAAUGGGUACCCAAAUAGUGUACGAAAAAUAUGGGACUAGGCCCAAUAAAUCCAACACAAGUUUAGACAGUGGCACAAUUAUUUUAGGAGCAAGUUGAAUUGAUUUGCAUUUUCCAAAAUUAAAAUAGCACCCAAAAAUGCUGAAAUGACACUGAUUAAAUUGCUACUGCUCAUCUUUGCAAAAGAGUGAUGUUGUUUCCCAUAACAUUAAUUUGUUGUGGAAUUUUUGACAGAUGGUGAACAUUUUUCUAGCAGGUUUUGAGCAACUUAAAAUUUCACUUGUGGUUUGAAUUUGAAUUCAAAGAAGAAUUUGAAAGGAGAGAUUUAUCCAAUAUGAUUAGCAUUGCAAAAACAAACUAGCUUAGCAUCAUCAUGUUGGAUUACCGUGGCACCAUUACAUAGGGGUGUUACACCUCCCUCAUCAAAAAACUUGGCCCCCUCCCUCGUCAAAAACUUGGCCCCCUCCCACCCGUCGCGGUCAUCCCCGCUGUCCGUUUCCCGCGCAAACCAGCUCCCCGCUGUCCGUUUCCCCUCCCGCUAUAUAGACCCUCCCUCGCUUCAUCCCCACCGCGCUUCCACCCCCCGUCCGUCCAUCACCGCAACUCCUCUCCUCGCCGCCACUCCUCUUCUCCGGCGAGGCCAGGAAGAGAAGGGAGGGCCAGAGGAGAGGAGGGAUCCCGAGCCAAGAGAUCCGGAGGUCGCGCGGGACUCUUCGGCGGUCGUCUCCAGGCUCGGGAGGGAGAGGGCCUCGCUGUGCAUGGCCGCCAGGCCGGGGGCGCAAUGCUGUGCGCGGAGGGGACUGGUGCUCCGUUGCCAGAGCGGGGCAGCCACGGCAGCGGCCACUCUCAGGAAGGGCGCGAAGGCAGAUGGGGCCGCGGCCGCGGUGUUGGAAAUAUGCCCUAGAGGCAAUAAUAAAUGGUUAUUAUUAUAUUUCUUUGUUCAUGGUAAUUGUCUAUUGUUCAUGCUAUAAUUGUGUUAUCCGGAAAUCGUAAUACAUGUGUGAAUACAUAGACCACAACGUGUCCCUAGUAAGCCUCUAGUUGACUAGCUCGUUGAUCAACAGAUAGUCAUGGUUUCCUGACUAUGGACAUUGGAUGUCAUUGAUAACGGGAUCACAUCAUUAGGAGAAUGAUGUGAUGGACAAGACCCAAUCCUAAGCAUAGCAUAAAAGAUCGUGUAGUUUCGUUUGCUAGAGCUUUUCCAAUGUCAAGUAUCUUUUCCUUAGACCAUGAGAUCGUGCAACUCCCGGGUGCCGUAGGAGUGCUUUGGGUGUGCCAAACGUCACAACGUAACUGGGUGACUAUAAAGGUACACUACGGGUAUCUCUGAAGGUGUCUGUUGGGUUGGCACGGAUCGAGACUGGGAUUUGUCACUCCGUAUGACGGAGAGGUAUCUCUGGGCCCACUCGGUAAUGCAUCAUCAUAAUGAGCUCAAUGUGACUAAGGAGUUAGUCACGGGAUCAUGCAUUGNNNNNNNNNNNNNNNNNNNNNNNNNNNNNNNNNNNNNNNNNNNNNNNNNNNNNNNNNNNNNNNNNNNNNNNNNNNNNNNNNNNNNNNNNNNNNNNNNNNNCCCAUAUAGAAUCAUAACCUGAUUUGGUCCUGGGCAAUCUGGUGAUAAAAUACAUGCCAAGUUUAUCCCACUUCCAUUCAGGUAUCGGCAUAGGCUAUAGCAAUCCUGCUGGCUUUUGGUGCUCUACCUUCACUCUCUGACAGACAUCACAUACGGCUACAUACUCGGUGAUAUCCUUCUUCAUCCAUGUCCACCAGAAACGUUCCUUCAAAUCCAAAUACAUCUUGGUGUUUCCGGGGUGUAUCAAGUAUGGUGAGUCAUGAGCCUCCUGAAGUAUUAAUUUCCCGAUCUCUGUGUUGUUGGGCACAUAAACACGGUCCUCAAACCAUAAGGUGUCAUGCUCAUCCUCACGAAAACCUUUGGCCUUUCCUUUGCUCAUUCUCUCUUUUAUGUCGGCAAUCUCUUUGUCAUCCUUCUGAGCUUCUCGAAUCUUUCCCAACAAUGUAGACUGAACCUCCAUUGUUGCAACAAAACCUCUAGGAACAAUCUCCAAUCGAAGUUCCCGAAGAUCCUCUGCUAUCUCCUUCGGCAAUCCCGUGCUCUCUAGGGUAUUAUCAUAACUUUUUCGGCUCAAAGCGUCUGCUACGACAUUGGCCUUUCCUGGAUGAUAGUGCAGCUUCAUGUCAUAAUCCUUUAUAAGCUCCAACCAUCUUCUCUGCCUAAGGCUCAGUUCCUUUUGUGUGAAAAUGUACUUCAAACUCUUAUGAUCCGUGUACACAUCACAAUGGUUUCUAAUAAGGUAAUGUCUCCACAUCUUCAACGCAUGCACUACGGCUGCUAGCUCCAAAUCAUGCGUGGCAUAAUUUAACUCGUGUGGUUUUAAUUGUCGCGAGGCAUACGAAACAACUCUUCCGUCCUGCAUAAGCACACUUCCAAGUCCUAGGAGAGAGGCUUCGCAAUACACUUGGAAAUCCUUACGUAUAUCUGGCAGUGUCAGCACUGGGCUGUAGUCAAACGUUUCUUCAGCUCCUGGAAACUUGCCUCGCGAUCUUCCGUCCAUUUAAACUUGGUAUCCUUCUUAAACAAUUCUGUCAUUGGCUUCGCGAUCUUGGAAAAAUUCUCAAUGAAUCUCCGAUAGUAUCCUGCGAGUCCAAGAAAACUGCGGAUCUCGCUAACUGAAGUGGGUGCCAACCAUUCAGUGACUGACUGAACCUUGGUGGGAUCUAAUGCUAUACCUUCUCCUGAUAUAACAUGUCUAAGGAAUCCGACUUCCUUCAACCAAAACUCGCAUUUGCUGAACUUGGCAUACAACUAAUGUUCCCUGAGUUUCUCGAGUACUAAACACAAAUGCUCCUUGUGCUCCUCUUCAUUCUUCGAAUAUACCAUUAUAUCAUCAAUGAACACCACAACAAACUUAUCCAAAUAUUCCAUGAAUAUUUUGUUCAUCAUGCUCAUGAAAUAGGCAGGGGUGUUAGUCAGUCCAAACGACAUGACCGUAUAUUCGUAUAACACAUACCGUGUGGUGAAUGUUGUCUUUGGUAUAUCUUUCUCUCGUAUCUUCAGCUGGUGAUAUCCUGAUCACAGAUCGAUCUUCGGAAACACCUUAGCUCCUUGCAGCUGGUCAAACAGAUCAUUGAUCAUCGGCAAUGGGUACUUGUUCUUAAUCGUUACUUCAUUCAAUGCCCGAUAAUCAACAACCAUUCUUAGGGACUUAUCCUUCUUCUCAACCAAAAGCACUGGGGCUCCCCAUGGUGAUGAACUCCGUCGAAUGUAACCUUUCUCCAAUAACUCCUUGAUCUGUUUCUUAAUCUCCUCCAGAUCAUUCGCGGGCAUCCGAUAGGGUCUCUUGGAUAUUGGCCCUGUGCAUGGCAAUAGCUCUAUCAAAAACUCGAUAUCUCGAUCCGGUGGCAUGCCUGGUAACUCCUCUGGGAAAACAUCCGGGUAAUCCUUUACUAUAGGCACUUCCUCCUGAACAANNNNNNNNNNNNNNNNNNNNNNNNNNNNNNNNNNNNNNNNNNNNNNNNNNNNNNNNNNNNNNNNNNNNNNNNNNNNNNNNNNNNNNNNNNNNNNNNNNNNCCCAUAUAGAAUCAUAACCUGAUUUGGUCCUGGGCAAUCUGGUGAUAAAAUACAUGCCAAGUUUAUCCCACUUCCAUUCAGGUAUCGGCAUAGGCUAUAGCAAUCCUGCUGGCUUUUGGUGCUCUACCUUCACUCUCUGACAGACAUCACAUACGGCUACAUACUCGGUGAUAUCCUUCUUCAUCCAUGUCCACCAGAAACGUUCCUUCAAAUCCAAAUACAUCUUGGUGUUUCCGGGGUGUAUCAAGUAUGGUGAGUCAUGAGCCUCCUGAAGUAUUAAUUUCCCGAUCUCUGUGUUGUUGGGCACAUAAACACGGUCCUCAAACCAUAAGGUGUCAUGCUCAUCCUCACGAAAACCUUUGGCCUUUCCUUUGCUCAUUCUCUCUUUUAUGUCGGCAAUCUCUUUGUCAUCCUUCUGAGCUUCUCGAAUCUUUCCCAACAAUGUAGACUGAACCUCCAUUGUUGCAACAAAACCUCUAGGAACAAUCUCCAAUCGAAGUUCCCGAAGAUCCUCUGCUAUCUCCUUCGGCAAUCCCGUGCUCUCUAGGGUAUUAUCAUAACUUUUUCGGCUCAAAGCGUCUGCUACGACAUUGGCCUUUCCUGGAUGAUAGUGCAGCUUCAUGUCAUAAUCCUUUAUAAGCUCCAACCAUCUUCUCUGCCUAAGGCUCAGUUCCUUUUGUGUGAAAAUGUACUUCAAACUCUUAUGAUCCGUGUACACAUCACAAUGGUUUCUAAUAAGGUAAUGUCUCCACAUCUUCAACGCAUGCACUACGGCUGCUAGCUCCAAAUCAUGCGUGGCAUAAUUUAACUCGUGUGGUUUUAAUUGUCGCGAGGCAUACGAAACAACUCUUCCGUCCUGCAUAAGCACACUUCCAAGUCCUAGGAGAGAGGCUUCGCAAUACACUUGGAAAUCCUUACGUAUAUCUGGCAGUGUCAGCACUGGGCUGUAGUCAAACGUUUCUUCAGCUCCUGGAAACUUGCCUCGCGAUCUUCCGUCCAUUUAAACUUGGUAUCCUUCUUCAACAAUUCUGUCAUUGGCUUCGCGAUCUUGGAAAAAUUCUCAAUGAAUCUCCGAUAGUAUCCUGCGAGUCCAAGAAAACUGCGGAUCUCGCUAACUGAAGUGGGUGCCAACCAUUCAGUGACUGACUGAACCUUGGUGGGAUCUACUGCUAUACCUUCUCCUGAUAUAACAUGUCUAAGGAAUCCGACUUCCUUCAACCAAAACUCGCAUUUGCUGAACUUGGCAUACAACUAAUGUUCCCUGAGUUUCUCGAGUACUAAACACAAAUGCUCCUUGUGCUCCUCUUCAUUCUUCGAAUAUACCAUUAUAUCAUCAAUGAACACCACAACAAACUUAUCCAAAUAUUCCAUGAAUAUUUUGUUCAUCAUGCUCAUGAAAUAGGCAGGGGUGUUAGUCAGUCCAAACGACAUGACCGUAUAUUCGUAUAACACAUACCGUGUGGUGAAUGUUGUCUUUGGUAUAUCUUUCUCUCGUAUCUUCAGCUGGUGAUAUCCUGAUCACAGAUCGAUCUUCGGAAACACCUUAGCUCCUUGCAGCUGGUCAAACAGAUCAUUGAUCAUCGGCAAUGGGUACUUGUUCUUAAUCGUUACUUCAUUCAAUGCCCGAUAAUCAACAACCAUUCUUAGGGACUUAUCCUUCUUCUCAACCAAAAGCACUGGGGCUCCCCAUGGUGAUGAACUCCGUCGAAUGUAACCUUUCUCCAAUAACUCCUUGAUCUGUUUCUUAAUCUCCUCCAGAUCAUUCGCGGGCAUCCGAUAGGGUCUCUUGGAUAUUGGCCCUGUGCAUGGCAAUAGCUCUAUCAAAAACUCGAUAUCUCGAUCCGGUGGCAUGCCUGGUAACUCCUCUGGGAAAACAUCCGGGUAAUCCUUUACUAUAGGCACUUCCUCCUGAACAANNNNNNNNNNNNNNNNNNNNNNNNNNNNNNNNNNNNNNNNNNNNNNNNNNNNNNNNNNNNNNNNNNNNNNNNNNNNNNNNNNNNNNNNNNNNNNNNNNNNUACGCGUGUCCAUGAAUGGCAUAAAAGUUGUCCUGUGUAAAAAUAUUACAGGACAGAGUAAUUGUUCUUUGACAAAAAAUAAUAAGUGUUUAAUACAUAAAUUUAGAUGAAUACCACCUGAUGUUUGGGCGGACAGUACAACCACCGCAGCAUCAGAAGUAGCUUCGGGGUGAUGAAUCGGACGCGGCCUUGUAAGCCGGCACAGAUGAGCCCGUUGUCCUCCGCGUUAUAAACCGGGGCGGAUGCGUGAACCGGUCGCAAGGGCGGACGGGCGAGUCAUCCAUGACGUUGUAAGGCAGCACGGGCGCGUGAGUCGAUCGCAAGUGUUGUAAGCCGGCAUGGACGAGCGAAUCAGCCGCAUGUGCGGACGGAUGUAAACCGAACAGCGGGGGCGGCGAUUUGCACGCGUAUCCGUCAAGCAACCUGAUACUUUCGUAACGAAUAAUGGUCCUGCGAACAAAUAUCACACACCAGAGUAAUCGUUCUCGAACAAUUUAAUAUGCACUGAUAAAAUACAGAAAAAGAUAGCACCUGAUUUAUCCGGAGGAUCGAAGCAAAUUUCCUCAUGAAAUUUUAAUGGUCUUCACAUCUACCCAUAUAUCCGCUAAGCUUUGGAGGACGUGCCCCAAUAGUACUUUUUGCAUAUCAAUACGUGGUUGCUUUGGCCUUGGGUAAUUACUAUGAUGCUUAGCUUUGGCUGAUCCCAGGAGACACCGUUCGAUCUGCUUGUUCCUCGAAUUUUUAGACAGCAGCGGUAUGGCACACCCGUCGGUCCAUCGGCCGCAGGGGGGAGACCGAUUCAAAUAGUUGCGCACGGAAGCAGCUCGGCGGAGGUCGGCUCGCCGCGACUCAGGGCAGCAGCAGUAUGAAGCGCUGGACGGCCCCACAGGGCGAUUCCUCAAUGGCGGCUCUCUGCGAGACGGUGUUUUUGCCGUGCAAGGAAGUGGUAGGUCAAACCGAGGAGUCCGAGUCCAUGAAUAGUUCGCUCCCGGGUCAUCGCUGUUUCCGGGUCGACCCCAGUUGAAUAGGUCAGGGUGUAGUCUCCCUUUUGGUAAUUGAAAAACUGAACCAAUAUUACUACUAGCUUCACGUACUAGUGCUCAUGGCUGAUUUUACCAAAGGAAUGAUUAAAAAAUGAAUCUGGACCUUGUUUGUAUAGACUAUUCCUUCCUAAAAUCUGAGUCUUCACGUGGAUAAUACUCAAGUACUUGGUGGACCCUUUAUGCAAACAGUAGCAGGGGAGUCAGCGACAAAGGAGUCCAAGUCCAUCUCUGUGUCCGGGUUGUGGCCACUCUGGCCAAUUUAUUUUCUUUGAGUCAUGAUCUGACGAGAAGAUGAUUGUUUCUUUUUCUUCUUAACACUACUUGCCUCGGGAUCCGACUACUAGUAGCACGUGAUGACUCCUUGGAUCUGAAUUGAGUCCAGAAGUCACAGAGUAAACAGGAGCAGCUACUGUUGACUACCUCGGGAUUUGGAACCUUCUGAUCUGCCAUGGAGUAAAUCGCCAUUACUUUAUCAAAAAUAUCUGGUCUCUGGGCUGAUUUAGAUAGCUCAAUUCCGACUUGUCUUUCUGCGUUGCAGCAAUCUGGGCAGUUGGUAUUACUGUCGGACACGGUGAUCACAACGAAGACCCAAACCAUGCCGAUUCUGGUAACUUGUAGAUCGGAUUUGACGUGGUGAUGAAACUGGCUGUAGCAGAAAAACGAUGAUCGCGGCGACUCACGGCAACGGAAAAAGUUGUAACCCUAAUUUCCUUUGAACCUUAAACCCCAAAUCUUAACCUUGGACUGAUGAACUUGAAGCUGAUAUAAAUCCUUCUGAACCAGCUUUCUCCGUCCGGAAAAUUGCAAACUUCUCAAUCCCUGGGAGAGAUCCCUUCAAGAACUCAACACCACUAUGCGCAGCCCCACGGUGGGNNNNNNNNNNNNNNNNNNNNNNNNNNNNNNNNNNNNNNNNNNNNNNNNNNNNNNNNNNNNNNNNNNNNNNNNNNNNNNNNNNNNNNNNNNNNNNNNNNNNGUGAGGCCGCAAAGUGAUAUGAGGUGUUACAUGCUAGAUCGAUGUGGCAUUGAGUCGGGGUCCUGACAGCGUUGGUAUCAGAGCUUGACUGCCUGUAGGAUUACCAAGCCAAACUGGUCGAAGUUGAGUCUAGAAAUUCUUUAGUUAUAUAAGGGAAUUGAUUGUGGGAUGGAACGUAAGGCUCUUUUUACUCCUUAUACCUUAUGCCUUCUGAUCUAAGUCAUCUUAUCUUUCCUGCGGGGAUUAAGAACUAGGCUAUCUCUUCUUUCUAUUAGGAUCACGUGUUACUAAUCAGUAGACUUAUAAGAUUGUUGGAUUCAAUGCCUCAGUUCAGUUCCUACUAUCUUCUGUAUGUUAAUUGUUGAUCUCGAAACCUUGAUAUUGUGCCUUUGAGUGGUUAUGCCACCAUUUUUGUGAAUGUCUCAAAUCUUUCCUGAGCAUUUACAGCCGUUAUGCUGUCCGAGUCAUCCCAGGUUUCUAAAUAGUCCGAAGCAUUUGCAAAUCCCUUCCUUCUGUUUCCGAUGUUUCCAUGGGCCAGAUUAAUCACACUAAUCGGUGUGUUGAGGUAAUUAUUGCCUUGACAUAUAUGUUGGAGCUAUUAUUAUGACCCUAGGUGUUUUAGGGAGUCACCUAGUAAUCUAGCAAUGUUUUGUGUCCCAGUGUGAAGAUUCUGGCCGUCAUUAUCGAAAGCAUCCCGUGAUGCCAUUUAGUAGUAGGUAUUCUAUCCCUGGGUUUUGAACCCGAGAUUCACCCUACUUGCUUCAUGUUGAUAGUUUUGCUCGUUCCUUUAGGUUAUUAGUAACCUUUGCAUUAGUCCUCGAUGUUCGUGGUAUUCCUUUCCUCCAAAUACUAUGAACCGCUUAUGGCAGAUGUCCCUCGCUGAUCGAAAGAUCACAAUCAGAGUGCUCUCGAUGGGUUCUCGAUUCUACGUUGUGACUCUGCCAGUUCUACCUUCUGCAUGGGUUAUCCGGAAGAAAUAUGUUGAACUUGGUUCGACAUACUAAUCUAUGCAUCCACAACUCAGAAAAUCAUAUGUUCCUUUGAGUUGUCCCUCUUUAGUUGUCUUCUGACCCUCGUCUAUCAAUUGAUAGUCAAGAGUAUGCGUGCGUUCGUUUAUCGAUGCCUAUUACUCUUGUGGUCCGUCAAGCCAUUCUGUCCUGAAUGACUUGGAGAAACAAACUCCAGUACCUCUUCCAUAUUUAGGAUUGGGUCAAAGUAGUUGUGUUCCGCAGAUCAAGAUACAAUCCAGCUUCUGGUCUGCUCUACCCUGAAGUAUUACCUUCUUUAUGACAGGAAUUUCAUGAGAAUUGCACCACCUUUUGUGAAUUCUUGACAUAGUGAUACUUCACGCCAUCCUUUUUCAUUCCUCGGUUCCGUGUUGUUGCAGCCGGAGUGCCGACAAGUGAAUCAUGAUGUGUGAAAUCAAUACUCCUAGCAACUCCGUUGCUUGGUAGUUAAAUGGAUGAUAACGUCAUCCUUAGCGAGUUGACUAUUGAAUCAUCACCCUAAGGUUGAUUGUGCCACCUAGUCCAUUUUCCUGGUGCACUCUUCGAUUGAUGAGUUAGGAUCUUGUCAAGUCCUCACUCAUUUGAUCAUAUCGUCUUGCCCUGAAAAGCAAGAUUGUUCUCGAGCUUAGUAACAUACCGGUGGUUCGUGACUUUCCAAAUAUCUUCUUGGAGGUGUUACCGGGUUGUCACCUGACCGCUAUGUUGAGUUCGUGAUCAAGUUGGUUUCCUGUGAACCACCUUCUCUCCAAGAAUCGGUGUUAGAUAUCCCUGAGCUAGUUGGUUAAGCUAGACAACAACUUGGAGAGUUGGAAGAUAAAAGCUUGUCUGACUUAGUUCGUUCCAAAGGGAUAUUCUUGUGUAGUGUGUGUUGAAGAAAAAUGAUAUCUUCAUCGAUUGGUCCUUGUGAUCNNNNNNNNNNNNNNNNNNNNNNNNNNNNNNNNNNNNNNNNNNNNNNNNNNNNNNNNNNNNNNNNNNNNNNNNNNNNNNNNNNNNNNNNNNNNNNNNNNNNCUAUCGACGCACUCUCUUUCCUCCGAGCAGCGCGUGGAGGUGGACGUGUACACCCUAGGCGAUGCCGAUGGAUGGCGCCAUCAUUCGUUUCUCUCUCCGUGUCGCCCGACGAAAAUCUCGCCGCUGGUGUCGAUGGACGGCAAGCUGUACGUGGUAACCAAUGGCUGAAAGCAUGGCUACGGCUGGAAUGAGAUUCCCAGAAGAAUAUUGGUGAUUGACGUGGCGACGGAGUUGUGCCGCACGUACCCACUUCCGGACUACGAGUGUUUUCACUUCGAGAGCCCGCCGAUGGGUGCCUUUGAGCUCAGUGGCCGGCUGUGCUUCGCCGCGCAUGCCCUCAGCUGUAGACGGCCUGAAACUAAUGUCAUCCACUUUUGGGUCAUGUCACCGUCGGAGGGCGACGAGGACGAGCAACCAGACGGGAAUUGCACUACAGCUUCCCCAUAGUAGAGGGACGACCAUGCUUUGUGUUUCACAGACCAUGGGCCUGCUGGCUAGACCACGAUGAGAUAUUGUACUACGCCUGCGUUGGCGUAUUGCACAGGUAUAGCAUGAGACAAGGCUCGUCUGUUGACGUAUAAUGUGCUGCCUAGUCUCUUCCAUCAGAUCGGUCUUUUGGUUGCAUUGACUAGAGCAUGCAGUUCUACAUGGUAUCGGAGCCAAGAGGUCUUGAGUUCAAGACCCGGCUGGCGCAAUUAAAUUGCAGCCCACUUUCGGUCCACGUUUAUGCCUGAGGGAGCCACACGUGAGGGGGAGUGUUGACGUAUAAUGUGCUGCCUAGUCUCUUCCAUCAGAUCGGUCUUUUGAUUGCAUUGGCUAGAGCAUGCACUUCUACAUCGUCGACUUCCAACGGUGGAUUUCUAUUACUCUCGCCUCUCACCUUUGAGUUGUCGCCAUCCCAGGAUGAUGAUGAAAACAAACACCAGUUUGAGCAUGCAAUGCUAAGUCUACUACGAUGAUGCUAUCAGUAAAUCAACAUAGCUCUUGAGCCGUGGGUUUUGCUCAACAGCAUGCCAAUAUACCAUGUGAUUUGCUGAUUUUGUAUAUAUACAAUACAGAAACUUUGAAAUAUUGGUUAUAUACCUCUUGGUUUAGUAUUUUUUUCCAUUUUCUUUUAAUUGAUUAAUUAAUCAGCUCGGCUAAAUAUCUGAGACUUAGUUAAUUAUGUCUUACUCAAUGUUUUAUCCGUCAGAUCUUACGCAGAGAUCCAUGCAAUUUUUUCUUUUUAUAUGUAAUUUCUAUCUAACAAUGAUGAUGUCACAGAUAUUACACCCAUUAACUUAUUUAUCUUAACAUGCAAAUUUGUCACCUCAUCAUACAAUCAUGUAUGGAAAAGCACCUCAGCAUGCAAUCAUGCUCAGAGAAAGGGUUCGGCUCUCCUGCUGGGAUCCCCGCACGCCUUAUGCUACUGUUGGGAGCUCUAUACACAUUAUGUUGCUGGGAUCCUUUUCACAAAAAAGGAGGUGGAAGAUUUCAGAUCCACGGUGAAACUCAAGCCUACUAUAUUUUUGUGUGUGUUUGGUUUUGGAAGUGGGUGGGUGGCCCCCGACAUGUAGGGCCUCAAAGGGCAAUUUAGGAUCUUUUUUUAAAAAGUAGGAAGGUCCCGGCCUCUACAUCAGAAAGAUGCAUGCAUCCAUUUAUUAAAAAAGUGUCCAAAUAGUCUCAGUACAAAAAUAGGCUCACUCCGAGCUGAAAGAAGAAAAUAAAGGGCAAUUCUAGGUGGCUGCCAACUGUUUAUAGGAUUGGUAGUCUGAUUCCGUUUCGGCCGUGUCCGGGUUUCUCCACCAUCAACAACGGUUGAGCAUCUCUGUGGGUCACAAAAGGAUUGUAAUAGUAGCACAUUUUUUUGAGAAUAGUUAUAUCACAUUAUUAGUCACGCUGAGGCAAAUUAAUCAUGGAGAAGAACAUGAGAAAAANNNNNNNNNNNNNNNNNNNNNNNNNNNNNNNNNNNNNNNNNNNNNNNNNNNNNNNNNNNNNNNNNNNNNNNNNNNNNNNNNNNNNNNNNNNNNNNNNNNNCAUCAAUCAAAUAGAGAAUCCAUGAGUUUAUUGGUUGUUGCUGAGGUCAUCCGGACAUCCGCGUAUACAGUAGACUAGCAUGACGCAUGCGUGCAGAUUUGCUGGAAUCGCACCUAGAUCAUCCGUCCGCAUGACCUACACCACUAUCAAUAACUUGGACUCGUCCAUGAAACGCCAUCGAUAGAGACGCGUGCGACCAGGGGCCGGCGUCUGCAUUACGUACGCUUCUGAAUUCUGCACUUUGCUGCGGCUUUGUUGCUGCAUCUCUCGACAUGUUUCUAUCUCCUUGCCACUACCAACUUGUUACCUACAUUCUGCACUUUGCUGCGGCUUUGUUCGCUGAAUUCACUGACACGGAAUUUUGUUCAAUACGAUAUUUUGUGCAAAUUGAAGAAGAGAGUCUGGGGAGGCUUUUCCACUUACUUAAUGCUUUGCCUGAUCAUCCUCUCAAGAAAAAUGAAAUACUUGAUAUCUUUUAUAAUGGACUAACCAAUGCUUCCAGAGACCACCUGGAUAGUCUGUGCAUUGUUUCCUCCUUGGAGGCAUUGCUUGUGGAGAACCUCUUUUGUAUUCUGAGUGUUGUCUUUCGUGGUGGUUAGAGUGCUGCUGCUGCUAGUGACUGUUCACCGUCGCGGGGUCUUUUUUUCCUGUUCUUUUCCUUUUCUUUUGGCUGUGUGUAUCCUUGAUGCUUUUGGGCAUCUUGUUGGUAGAGAGGCCGGGUGUAAUUGGUAUCUUCGCGAUAUUAAUAUAUUUCCUUUGUCGAAAACUACUAAUCCAUAUUGAUAUAUCGAAACAGUUAUUUGUCCCCUUUUUCGCAGUGGUUAGCUCUGUUUCUUAGUACGAGAAUGGUGUUUUCUAAUUCACGAAUGUGAAGUGCGGCAUCAUCUUGCUUAUUAUUUACACACUAAUCAUGUUGUUAUGUGAACAACAUUUUGCUACUGGAUCCUUGGGGGGGGGAGUUUGUUGUUUUGAAGUACUGCUCUGCUGACUAGCUGAUUUUAUGCAUCCUUCUCAUGCCCUCAAUGUCAUGGGGAAGAAGCAACCUAUUUGGACUUUCAACAUUCUAAUGACUUGGCAAACAAUAGAAGCCACAGAGGCAGAUCAAAAUUUUCUGGUUAGUCAUCAUCAUUUUCUGAUUCUGUAGACCAUAAUGUUAAUCGCAUAUACGAUGAUAAAAUUGCCUAGGCUGUACAAGGAACCAACUCGCGAUGAAAAAAAAAAGGAUUUAAGAUAUGCCUAUGAUACCAUGAAGGAGAAAGAAUUCAUUGUCUCUAAUUAGAAAAAUAUCUGUCAUUUUUAUAUCCAAUUUUUUGUGCCUGUAAAAUCACUUUUUGUUAGUUUCGAAUAACAUUCUAACACAUCGCUAAGUGUCAGAGAAUGCUUUAACACAUUAAUUAAGCUUGUGUUUCUGAGACCUGAAAUGUAAAAAUUGUAACCGCUAUAAUUCUAUACUGCAUUUAAAAUAUUAAGUGCCGCAUCUCUCGACAUGUUUCUAUAUCCUUGCCACUACCAACUUGUUGCCUGAAUUCAGUACUUUGCUACGGCUUUGUUCGCUGAACUCACUGACACGGAAUUUCCUUCAAUACGAUGUUUUGCUGAAUGCGCGCCUAAAUUUCUGUCUCAAAAAGAACACAUCAUGCAGCGCCUGGAGCUCAAAACGACUUGGGUAUUCCAGCCCCGGUUCAUUGCAUUUUUUUCUACUCCCUCGUCCCAUAAUAUAAGAGCGUUUUUGCCACUACAGUAUUUUGUUAUGUGCAAAUGUUCACUGGACUUGGGUUUGUUCUUCAUCAGCCAUACUGAUUUGUGUUCUGAAACUCUGGAGAUGUUAGAUUGAAGCAGAGGCUGUACAAUUGCCCAUUGCACAACUGGACGAUUUCAGUCAACCGUUUAAUAAUUGCCCACAACAAAAAAGUUGUNNNNNNNNNNNNNNNNNNNNNNNNNNNNNNNNNNNNNNNNNNNNNNNNNNNNNNNNNNNNNNNNNNNNNNNNNNNNNNNNNNNNNNNNNNNNNNNNNNNNCGCAUCCGACAUGUUACCCCCGGCUUCAUCCCUUAUGCUUCCCACUCCCACGUCCGCUACAAAGACGGCCGUACAUUCUUACUAUCAUUACAACCGUCGCCUACUAAUGGAUAAUGCCCUAUACUACUUACUCUCUCGCUCAACUACGAAGACGAGUUUACCACGAUUUCCACCCCUCCCUCUAUACCGCAGCAACACGUAUUUUACACCCUUUUCAGAACGCGCUUUUCGCGCCCCAACUCUCCCUAGACGCGUGACUAAUGAGCUCCGAGCUAAAACAUAUCGCAAAUGUCAAAAAUAUGAUGACAGGCUUAAUAUAUAUCACGCACGUGCGUUCUGUUCCUCAUGUACGUACAAAAAUAAUUAAAAAAGGGAAUGCAACAUGAGGACUUCCCAGGAGGUCACCCAUCCUAGUACUACUCGCGCCCAAGCACGCUUAACUUCGAAGUUCUGAUGGGAUCCGAUGCUUUAGUGCUGGUAUGAUCGCAUCCGACAUGUUACCCCCGGCUUCAUCCCUUAUGCUUCCCACUCCCACGUCCGCUACAAAGACGGCCGUAUAUUCUUACUACCAUUACAACCGUCGCCUACUAAUGGAUAAUGCCCUAUACUACUUACUCUCUCGCUUAACUACGAAGACGAGUUUACCACGAUUUCCACCCCUCCCUCUAUACCGCGGCAACACGUAUUUUACACCCUUUCAAAACGCGCUUUUCGCGCCCCAACUCUCCCUAGACGCGUGACUAAUGAGCUCCGAGCUAAAACAUAUCGCAAAUGUCAAAAAUAUGAUGACAGGCUUAAUAUAUAUCACGCACGUGCGUUCUGUUCCUCACGUACGUACAAAAAUAAUUGAAAAAGGGAAUGCAACACGAGGACUUCCCAGGAGGUCACCCAUCCUAGUACUACUCUCGCCCAAGCACGCUUAACUUUUUCGGAGUUCUGAUGGGAUCCGGUGCUUUAGUGCUGGUAUGAUCGCAUCCGACAUGUUACCCCCGGCUUCAUCCCUUAUGCUUCCCACUCCCACGUCCGCUACAAAGACGGCCGUACAUUGUUACUAUCAUUACAACCGUCACCUACUAAUGGAUAAUGCCCUAUACUACUUACUCUCUCGCUCAACUACGAAGACGAGUUUACCACGAUUUCCACCCCUCCCUCUAUACCGCGGCAACACGUAUUUUACACCCCUUUCAGAACGCGCUUUUCGCGCCCCAACUCUCCCUAGACGCGUGACUAAUGAGCUCAGAGCUAAAACAUAUCGCAAAUGUCAAAAAUAUGAUGACAGGCUUAAUAUAUAUCACGCACGUGCAUUCUGUUCCUCACGUACGUACAAAAAUAAUUAAAAAAGGGAAUGCAACACGAGGACUUCCCAAGAGGUCACCCAUCCUAGUACUACUCUCGCCCAAGCACGCUUAACUUCGGAGUUCUGAUGGGAUCCGGUGCUUUAGUGCUGGUAUGAUCGCAUCCGACAUGUUACCCCCGGCUUCAUCCCUUAUGCUUCGCACUCCCACGUCCGCUACAAAGACGGCUGUACAUUCUUACUACCAUUACAACCGUCGCCUACUAAUGGAUAAUGCCCUAUACUACUUACUCUCUCGCUCAACUACGAAGACGAGUUUACCACGAUUUCCACCCCUCCCUCUAUACCGCGGCAACACGUAUUUUACACCCCUUUCAGAACGCGCUUUUCGCCCCCCAACUCUCCCUAGACGUGUGACUAAUGAGCUCCGAGCUAAAACAUAUCGCAAAUGUCAAAAAUAUGAUGACAGGCUUAAUAUAAAUCACGCACGUGCGUUCUGUUCCUCACGUACUUACAAAAAUAAUUAAAAAAGGGAAUGCAACACGAGGACUUCCCAGGAGGUCACCCAUCCUAGUACUACUCUCGCCCAAGCACGCUUAACUUCGGAGUUUUGAUGGGAUCCNNNNNNNNNNNNNNNNNNNNNNNNNNNNNNNNNNNNNNNNNNNNNNNNNNNNNNNNNNNNNNNNNNNNNNNNNNNNNNNNNNNNNNNNNNNNNNNNNNNNAAUCCUCAUGAAGAGAUCCAUUACCUAGACCAUAAUUUGGCUACUAUGUAAAGGUUUUAGAUACCUUUCAAGUUUGUGUCAUAGAGAUGCGUCAAUAAUUUAUCUCCUCGGGGUGGGAUCCCUUGGUAUGACCGUAAAUACUUGGCGAAUAAUCACAAAGGGGGAGCAGGAUGGAGUUGGUCAUGUGGACGUAACUAAAACCACGAAGUGUUUUUAGGGGAUUACAUUUAUCUAUGAACCCUCCAAAAAUGAACAUGUGUAUGUUCUUUAUCCCCUUUUCAGGUUUCAUAGUUGCCCACAAUCAACCAUAUAGUUGCCUAAAACCAAAUAUCCAGUUGCCCAAAAUCAACAAAUAGUUUGCCUAAAACCAUGUAUCCAGUUGCCAAUCCUCGUGAACAGAAACAUUUACCAAGACCAUUAUUUGGUAAAUAUCUAAAGGUUUUAGAUACCUUUAAAUUAGUUUGGGUCGUAGAGGUGGAGUGAAGAUUUUCCUCUCCUCGGGUGGGAUCCCUUGGUGCGACUGUAGAGGUGAGCUGGAGAUAUGAGGCACAUGACUAAGUGUGUGUGUGUUUGUGUGUGUGCGCGCGCGCACGCGCGUGUGUGUUUUCUCCUCUGCUACUACCUAGUUGCCUAAGGAAAACUGUAGAGUUGUUCAGGCUUGGAGUACACACGAGUUUCCUGAUGAACUUAGUCUUUUCUAUAUAUGACCACUUUAUCUAGAUACCAUGUCAGACUGGGACUACACACGAAUCUGGUGAAUGCAUUGGAGUUGCGCAAAAACACCCCAAGAUUUCCAUGCUUUUUUAAAUACAACUCCAGUGGUCAAACUAAUUACCAUGAAGAUCUAGAGUGGAAAAAAUAAAAAAAAUUCAAACUGUGGUCAAAUACCAUGAAGAUCUAGAGUGGAAAAAAUAAAAAAAAUUCAAACUGUGGUCAAACAAUGGUCAAACUAAUUAUUCUAGAAUAUUAGUGUUACUAAAUAAUUAUUUCAGUUAUUUUGAAAUUUGGUCAAAUCUGGUCAAACUGUGGUCAAACUAAUUAUUCAAGAAAUAUUAGUGUGACUAAAUAAUUAUUGUUUUUUAAAACAAUAGUUUCAAACUCAAACAGUGAAAUGCUCAUGCAAAAUUCCUGAGGGUUAAUAGGAUUGACAUCUUACUACUGUCAGCAAAACAACAAGUGCAGACUUAGAAACGAGGGAGAAUAGAACCCGAAGUUAAGCGUGCUCAGGCUGGGGGAGUGGGAGGAUGGGUGACCGUUCGGGAAGUUUGAUGAUUAGGAAUGAUGAGGGAUGAUUAGAGAUUAGAGGAUAAAUUGAGCAGUGACGAGGGGUGAUGAUUAGAGAUUAGAGGUUAAAAUAAUUCAGAAAUUUGAAAAUAAAAAAAUUCAAAAAAAUUCAAAAAAAAUUCCUUUAGUCCUGGUUGGUGUUACCAACCGGGACUAAAGGUGGAGCUCCACGUGGCCGCGACCUUUAGUCCCGGUUAAAGAACCGGGACUAAAGGCCCUUACGAACCGGGACUGAUGCCCCCUUUUCUACUAGUGUUGGAAGGGUCCCAAAGAUCAGCGCGCACCCCUGCUCGCUGCUCCUCACUCAUUCCCACGAGAUUAAUGUAGAAGUCAUAAAUGUGAUGAACAAUGUCCGCCUGCGUCAGCAAAAGCCCCUGAUCAGAUUGCAGGCGGAGUAUCGCACACCUACGCCUUCUCCCGUUGGCGUAGGCGUGGAAGUAGUUGGUGUCUGCGUCCCCUUUAAGGAUCCACUUAAGGCCACGCCGGUGCCUCCAGUACUCCUCCUCUGCCCGCAACAAAGACUGCACCUGAUUCUCCAACGCGUAUCUGCGAGCCCAUUCUUGUUCGGAAAAAGGCCGCGCGUCCGCCUGGAGGUUGAGGCUCGCAAUCUCAGCAACGAUGCCUUCCCUCAGNNNNNNNNNNNNNNNNNNNNNNNNNNNNNNNNNNNNNNNNNNNNNNNNNNNNNNNNNNNNNNNNNNNNNNNNNNNNNNNNNNNNNNNNNNNNNNNNNNNNAAGAUUGAAGCUAUUGAGAGUUGGCCGCAGCCCAAAACGGUCACACAAGUGAGGAGUUUUCUUGGCCUCGCUGGAUUCUAUAGGCGUUUUGUGAGAGAUUUAAGCACCAUUGCUGCACCUCUCAAUGAGCUUACAAAGAAAGAUGUGCCUUUUCUGUGGGGUACCGCACAGGAAGAAGCCUUCACGGUAUUGAAAGAUAAGUUGACACAUGCUCCUUUACUCCAACUUCCUGAUUUUAAUAAGACUUUUGAGCUUGAAUGUGAUGCUAGUGGAAUUGGAGUAGGAGGUGUGUUAUUACAAGAUGGCAAACCUGUUGCAUACUUUUUUGAAAAACUGAGUGGGCCUAGUCUGAAUUAUUCUACUUAUGAUAAAGAAUUAUAUGCUCUUAUUCAGACUUUAGAAACAUGGCAACAUUAUUUAUGGCCUAAAGAAUUUGUUAUACAUUCUGAUCAUGAAUCUUUGAAACAUAUUAGAAGUCAAGCUAAACUGAAUCGUAGACAUGCUAAAUGGGUUGAAUUCAUUGAGACUUUCCCUUAUGUCAUUAAACACAAGAAGGGAAAAGAAAAUGUUAUUGCUGAUGCAUUGUCUCGUCGCUAUACUAUGCUUUCUGAACUUGACUUCAAAAUAUUUGGUUUGGAGACCAUCAAAGAUCAAUAUGUGCAUGAUGCUGAUUUUAAAGAUGUAAUGCAGAAUUGUAAAGAAGGAAGAAUGUGGAACAAGUUUGUCAUGAACGAUGGAUUUGUGUUUCGUGCUAACAAGCUAUGCAUUCCAGCUAGCUCCGUUCGUCUUUUGUUGUUGCAGGAGGCGCAUGGAGGAGGAUUAAUGGGACACUUUGGCGUGAAGAAGACGGAGGACGUACUUGCUACACAUUUCUUUUGGCCAAAAAUGAGACGGGAUGUUGAGCGUUUUAUUGCUCGCUACACUACAUGUCAAACAGCUAAGUCACGACUCAAUCCUCAUGGUUUAUAUAUGCCUUUGUCUGUACCUAGUGUUCCUUGGGAGUAUAUAUCUAUGGACUUUGUUUUAGUUUUACCUUGAACAAAGAAGGGGAGGGAUAGCAUAUUUGUUGUCGUGGAUAGAUUCCCGAAAAUGGCACACUUUAUACCAUGUCAUAAAAGCGAUGAUGCUGUUAAUGUUGCUGAUUUGUUCUUUCGUGAAAUUAUUCGCUUGCAUGGUGUGCCAAAUACUAUUGUUUCAGAUCGUGAUACUAAAUUUCUUAGCCACUUUUGGAGAUGUUUAUGGGCUAAGUUGGGGACUAAACUGCUUUUUAGUACUACUUGUCACCCCCAAACUGAUGGACAAACUGAAGUAGUCAAUAGAACAUUGUCUACUAUGCUUAGGGCUGUUUUGAAAAAUAAUAAGAAAAUGUGGGAGGAAUGCUUGCCUCAUAUUGAAUUUGCUUAUAAUCGUUCAUUGCAUUCUACUACUAAGAUGUGCCCUUUUGAAGUUGUGUAUGGUUUCCUACCUUGUGCACCUAUUGAUUUGUUGCCUCUUCCAUCUUCGGAGAAGGUUAAUUUUGAUGCUAAACAACGUGCUGAAUUGAUUUUAAAAAUGCAUGAGUUAACUAAGGAAAACAUUGAACGUAUGAAUGCUAAAUAUAAACUUGCUGGAGAUAAGGUAGAAAACAUGUUGUGUUUGCACCUGGAGAUCUUGUUUGGUUACAUUUGCGUAAUGAUAGAUUUCCUAAUUUGCGCAAAUCAAAGCUAAUGCCACGUGUUGAUGGUCCCUUUAAGGUGUUGGAGAAAAUAAAUGAUAAUGCAUAUAAACUUGAGCUGCCUGCAGAUUUUGGGGUUAGUCCCACUUUUAACAUUGCAGAUUUCACUAGUGCAGAACCGGGCGAUAGCACCAGUUUGUAAGGCCCUUUAGUGCCGGUUCCAUAACCGGCACUAAAGUGUGGGCAUUAAAGCCCCCCCCCCNNNNNNNNNNNNNNNNNNNNNNNNNNNNNNNNNNNNNNNNNNNNNNNNNNNNNNNNNNNNNNNNNNNNNNNNNNNNNNNNNNNNNNNNNNNNNNNNNNNNCGUGGUGACGAUCUUGAUGUUCUCCUGUUGCAGGGCUUCGCCUAAGCACCGCUACAAUAUGACCGAGGUGUAAUAUCGUGGAGGGGGGCACCGCACACGGCUAAGGAACGAUCAAUGAUCAACUUGUGUGUCCUAGGGUGCCCCCCUACCCCCGUAUAUAAAGGAGGGAGGGAGGAGGUGGCCGGCCCUAGGGGGGGCGCGCCAUGAGGAGGGGGAAACCUACUCCAAGUAGGUUUCCCUCUCUUUUCCUUAUCUUAUUUGGAGGGGGAAGGAAAGAGUACUAGUAUUAGGAAGUAGUACUAGUAGUAGUAAUAGGAAGAGGGGGAAGGAGAAAGGAAAGGGGGGGCCGGCCCCCUCCCCAAUUCGGAUUGGGCUUGGAGGGCGCGCCCCCUUCCCUUGCUCCUUCUCUCUUCCUCCUACAUGGGCCCAAUAAGGCCCAUAUACCUCCCGGGGGGUUCCGGUAACCUCCCGGGGCUCCAAACUUCUCCGGAACCUUUCCGGUGUCCAAAUAUAUCCAUCCAAUAUAUCAAUCUUUAUGUCUCGACCAUUUCGAGACUCCUCGUCAUGUCCGUAAUCAUAUCUGGGACUCCGAACAACCUUCGGUACAUCAAAAUACAUAAACUCAUAAUAUAACUGUCAUCGAAACCUUAAGCGUGCGGACCCUACGGUUCGAGAACGAUGUAGACAUGACUGAGACACAUCUCUGGUCAAUAACCAAUAGCGGGACCUGGAUGCCCAUAUUGGUUCCUACAUAUUCUACGAAGAUCUUUAUCGGUCAAACCGCAUAACAACAUACGUUGUUCCCUUUGUCAUCGGUAUGUUACUUGUCCGAGAUUCGAUCGUCGGUAUCCAAUACCUAGUUCAAUCUCGUUAUCGACAAGUCUCUUUACUCGUUCUGUAAUACUUCAUCUUAUAACUAACUCAUUAGUUACAUGCUUGCAAGGCUUAGGUGAUGAGCAUUGCCGAGAGGGCCCAGAGAUACCUCUCCGACAAUCGGAGUGACAAAACCUAAUCUCGAAUUAUGCUAACUCAACAUGUACCUUCGGAGACACCUGUAGUAAUCCUUUAUAAUCACCCAGUUACGUUGUGACGUUUGGUAGUACCCAAAGUGUUCCUCCGGUAAACGGGAGUUACACAAUUCUCAUAGUUACAGGAACAUGUAUAAGUCAUGAAGGAAGCAAUAGCAGAAUACUAAACGAUCAAGUGCUAAGCUAACGGGAUGGGUCAUGUCAAUCACCUCAUUCUCCUAAUGAUGUGAUCCCAUUAAUCAAAUGACAACACAUGUCAAUGGUUAGGAAACAUAACCAUCUUUGAUUAAUGAGCUAGUCAAGUAGAGGCAUACUAGUGACUAUAUGUUUGUCUAUGUAUUCACACAUGUAUCAUGUUUCCGGUUAAUACAAUUCUAGCAUGAAUAAUAAACAUUUAUCAUGAUAUGAGGAAAUAAAUAAUAACUAUAUUAUUGCCUCUAUGGCAUAUUUCCUUCAGUCUCCCACUUGCACUAGAGUCAAUAAUCUAGAUUACAUAGUAAUGAUUCUAACACCCAUGGAGUCUUGGUGCUGAUCAUGUUUUGCUCGUGAGAGAGGCUUAGUCAACGGGUCUGCAACAUUCAGAUCCGUAUGUAUCUUGCAAAUCUCUAUGUCUCCCACUUGGACUUGGUCCCGAAUGGAAUUGAAGCGUCUCUUGAUGUGCUUGGUCCUCUUGUGAAAUCUGGAUUCCUUUGCCAAGGCAAUUGCACCAGUAUUGUCACAGAAGAUCUUCAUUGGUCCCGAUGCACUAGGUAUGACACCUAGAUCGGAAAUGAACUCCUUCAUCCAGACUCCUUCAUUUGCUGCUUCAGAAGCAGCUAUGUACUCCGCUUCACAUGUAGAUCCCGCCACGACGCUUUGUUUAGAACUGCACCAACUUACAGCUCCACCNNNNNNNNNNNNNNNNNNNNNNNNNNNNNNNNNNNNNNNNNNNNNNNNNNNNNNNNNNNNNNNNNNNNNNNNNNNNNNNNNNNNNNNNNNNNNNNNNNNNGGGAAAUGUCUCCUAGUGUUUCCACCGAGCCAUGGUAGCUUGCUACUGUUCCGGAACACUUAGGCUGGCCGGCAUGUGUCCUUCUUCGUUCCUGUGUCUGUCCCUUCGGGGAAAUGUCUCGCGAUGAAUACCGGAGUCCUGUUAGCCCGCUACAGCCCGGUUCACCGGAGUCCUGCUAGCCCAGUGCUACAGCCUGGAUUCACUCGCUGAUGACCGACACGUUCGUUGUUGGGUCAUGUAUGCCUGUCCCUGUAAGUUUGUGCCACUUUGGGUUUACGACUAGCCAUGUCAGCCCGGGCUCCUUAUCAUAUGGAUGCUAGCGACACUAUCAUAUACGUGUGCCAAAAGACGCAAACGGUCCCGGGCAAAGGUAAGGCGACACCCGUGGGAAUACCGUGCGUGAGGCCGCAAAGUGAUAUGAGGUGUUACAUGCUAGAUCGAUGUGGCAUUGAGUCGGGGUCCUGACAGCUUUGGUAUCAAAGCUUGACUGCCUGUAGGAUUACCAAGCCAAACUGGUCGAAGUUGAGUCUAGAAAUUCUUUAGUUAUAUAAGGGAAUUGAUUGUGGGAUGGAACGUAAGGCUCCCUUUACUCCUUAUACCUCAUGGCCUUCUGAUCUGAGUCAUCAUCUUCUCUUCUACGGGGAUUAAGAACUAGGCUAUCUCUUCUUUCUAUCAGGAUCACGUGUUACUAAUCCGUAGACUUACAAGAUUGUUGGAUUUAAGCUUGAGUUCAGUUCCUACGACUUCUGUAUGUUAACUGUUGAUCUCGAAAACCUUGGUAUUGUGCUUCUGAGUGGCUAUGCCACCAUUUUUGUGAAUGUCUCAAAUCUUUCUGAGCAUUUACAGCCGUUAUGCUGUCCGAGUCAUCCCAGGUUUCUAAAUAGUCUGAAGCAUUUUGCAAAUUCCUUCCUCCCGUUUCGAUGUUCCUUUGGGCCAGAUUAACCACACUAAUUGUUGAGUUGAGGUAUUCUAUUGCCUUGACAUUUAUGUUGGAGUUAUUAUUAUGACCCUAGGUGUCUCAGGGGAUCAUCUAGUGGUCUAGCCAUGAUUUGUGUCCUAGUGUGAUGAUUCUGGCCUUUAUUCUCGAAAGCAUUCCGUGAUGCUACUUAGGAGUAGGUAUUCUAUUCCUGGGUUCUUGAACCCGAGAUUCACCCUACUUACCUCAUGUUGAUAGUAAUUGCUAGCUCCCUUAGGUUAUUAGUAACCGUUGCGAUAGUCCUUGAAGUCCGUGGUAUCUUCUUCUUCCAAAUACCAUGAACUACUUAUGGCAGAAGUUCCUCGUUGAACUGAACGAUCACAACCAGAGUGCUCUUGAUGAGUUCUCCAUUAUAUAUUGUGGCUCUGCCAGUUCUACCUUUCUGCAUGGGUUAUCCGGAAGAAAUAUGUUGAACUUCGUUCGACAUGCUAAACCAUGCAUCCACAACUCAGAAAAUCGUAUGUUCCUUUGAGUUGUCCCUCUUUAGUUGUCUACUGACCUUCGUCUAUCAAUAGCUAGUCAAGAGUAUGCGUGCAUUCGUUUAUCGAUGCCUAUUACUCUCGUGGUCCGUCAAGCCAUUCUAUCGCGGAAUGACUAGGAGAAACAAACUCCAGUACCUCUUCCAUAUCCAGGAUUGGGUCAAAAAAGUUGUGCUCCGCAGAACAAAUUGCUAAUCCAGCUUUUGUUCUGCUCUACCUUGGAGUAUUACCAUCUUUAUAUCGGGAUUGUUAUAGGAAUUGCACACCACCCUAUGAACUCUUGGUACAGUGAUACUUCUUGCCAUCAUUGUUCAUUCCUCGGUUCCUGUGUUAUUGUAACCGGAAUGCCGACAAAUGAAUCAUGGCGUGUGAAAUCAAUACUGCUAGCAACUCUGUUGCUUGGUAGUUAAAUGGACGAUAACCUCAUUCUUAGCGUGUUGAUUAUUGAAUCGUCACCCUAANNNNNNNNNNNNNNNNNNNNNNNNNNNNNNNNNNNNNNNNNNNNNNNNNNNNNNNNNNNNNNNNNNNNNNNNNNNNNNNNNNNNNNNNNNNNNNNNNNNNAUACCUUGUUCAAUCUCGUUACCGGCAAGUCACUUUACUCGUUCCGUAACACAUCAUCCCGUGAUCAACUCCUUGGUCACAUUGCGCAUAUGAUGAUGUCCUACCGAGUGGGCCCAGAGAUACCUCUCCGUUUACACGGAGUGACAAAUCCCAGUCUCGAUCCGCAUAAAACAAUAGAUACUUUCGGAGAUACCUGUAGUGCACCUUUAUAGUCACCCAGUUGCGUUGUGACGUUUGAUACACCCAAAGCACUCCUACGGUAUCCAGGAGUUACACGAUCUCAUGGUCAAAGGAAGAGAUACUUGACAUUGGCAAAGCUCUAGCAAACGAACUACACGAUCUUUGUGCUAUGCUUAGGAUUGGGUCUUGUCCAUCACAUCAUUCUCCUAAUGAUGUGAUCCCGUUAUCAACGACAUCCAAUGUCCAUAGCCAGGAAACCAUGACUAUCUGUUGAUCACAACGAGCUAGUCAACUAGAGGCUCACUAGGGACAUAUUGUGGCCUAUGUAUUCACACGUGUAUUACGAUUUCCGGAUAAUACAGUUAUAGCAUGAAUAAAAGACUAUUAUCAUGAACAAAGAAAUAUAAUAACAACUUAUUUAUUAUUGCCUCUAGGGCAUAUUUCCAACAGAAGCAACCUUGUGUAUCCCACCAUGGCCGUCGCCCACGAAGGACUUGCCUCUCUAGCGGUAGAUCUUCAUGAAGUAGGCGAUCUCCUUGCCCUUACAAACUCCUUGGUUCAACUCCACAAUCUUGUCGGAGGCUCCCAAGUGACACCUAGCCAAUCUAGGAGACACCACUCUCCAAGAAGUAACAAAUGGUGCGUUGAUGAUGAACUCCUUGCUCUUGUGCUUCAAAUGAUAGUCUCCCCAACACUCAACUCUCUCUCUCAUAGGAUUUGGAUCUGGUGGAAGGAAGAUUUGAGUGGAAAGCAACUUGGGUAAGGCUAGAGAUCAAGAUUCAUAUGGUAGGAGUGGAAUAUCUUGGCCUCAACACAUGAGUAGGUAGUUCUCUCUCGGAGAUAGGAUGCUGGAAGUGUAGGUUUGUUCUGAUGGCUCUCUUCAUGAAUGAAGAGGAGGUGGAGGGGUAUAUAUAGCCUCCACACAGAAUCUAACCGUUACACACAAUUUACCAAACUCAGUGGGACCGAAUCAAUAAACUCGGUAAGACCGAUUUAGUAAACCUAGUGACCAUUAGGGUUUUCGGUGGGACCGACAUGCAAAUCGGUAGGACCGAUAUGAUUAGGGUUAGGGCAUAACGUAAUCUUGGUGAGACCGAUUACACAAACUCGGUGAGACCGACUUUGGUAACUAGCUAACCAGAGAGUUGGUCAGGCAAACUCGGUUGGACCGAUUACUCAAACUCGAUGGGACCGAUUUUGGUAAUGAGUCAACCAGGAAGUUUGCAUUGUAAUCUCGGUAGUACCGAUUGCUCAAACUCAGUGAGACCGAUUUUGAUAAUGGACAUACACAGAGAGAUUACAAUCCCAUCUCGGUGAGACUGAGAUCCCUAUCGGUGAGACCGAUUUGCCUAGGGUUUGUGGCAGUGGCUAUGACAUCAAAACUUGGUGGCGCCAGAUAGAAAGAAUCGGUGGGGCCGAGUUUGAAUUUAGGUUUAGGACAUAUGUGUGGAAAUGGGAAAGUAGUUGAGGGUAUUUGGAGCAUAUCACUAAGCAUUGAAGCAAGAUGCUCAUUAAGCAACACCUCAUCCCUUCUUGAUAGUAUUGGCUUUUCCUAUAGACUCAAUGUAAUCUUGGAUCACUAAAAUGUAAAAUGAAGAGUCUUGAGCUUGAAGCUUGAGCCAAUCCUUUGUCCUUAGCAUCUUGAAGGAGUUCCCACAUCCUUUAGUCCAUGCCACUCCAAUGUUAAACUUGUCUGAAAUAUACUAGAUAAAAGUGUUAGUCCAACAAGAGAUAUGNNNNNNNNNNNNNNNNNNNNNNNNNNNNNNNNNNNNNNNNNNNNNNNNNNNNNNNNNNNNNNNNNNNNNNNNNNNNNNNNNNNNNNNNNNNNNNNNNNNNUGCUUCUCGCAGCAGGAGGAGGACCACAUCGUCGCGCUCCACCGGAUCCUCGGCAACAGGUCUGCACAACUGCAUGUUUUUUUUGAAACAAGACAACUGCAAGUUUACAGUGCAAUAUAUAAAUACUCCCUCCAUACUCCCUCGGGCGGAGGUAGAAAAGGGUCAGCGAGCCAGUGCUGUGCUUGACAAGGUGCACGCAGGAGAGGAUCGCAACACAAACCUGAGAGGCUGAUCAAGUUGAUCUUGGACACAGUAUGCUGUUUGCCGUCCUGGUCAGAGGUAGAUAUGUGAAUGAUGAGGCCUUGGUGCCCUCUGGCCGGUAGCUGGGUGGAAGAAGCUUUAGCGGGUUGCGGCUGGGUAGAAAAGGGUUUAGUGGGUUGCUGCUGGGUAGAAGAAGCUUUGGUGGGCUCCUGCUUGUCUUGGUUCUCAUCGAAACAACCCAGCUGCGCGAAAUCCUCGAUCGACUUGACAUGAACCUGCAAAGGAAAGACAAUAUUAAUAAAUCACAACUCUACUAGAUUGUUAAGUUGGGUGGGAUGUAAAAGCAAAUCUUCUUCUAAGUGCAAUAUACUUAGUGCUGCUAUAUGAGUGUAUAAAUAUUUGUUGCUAUAUAAAUGUGAACAAAAUUCGUGCUUGUAUAUGAUAUUCUGCCAUGAAGAAAGAAUAGAUAGUGUGGGUCUGACCUAGCACCGAAAGGUCAACUAGCGCACGUACUCGGGCUGCUGCUCCACAGGUCGAGCUAGGAACCCCCUGAUCGCUGGCCAGAAGCCCAUAUAGGCCCAACAACGUGAUUGUUUUUCCACCCGUUCCGUGUGUGUCCCCAGUCCAUCCCGAUCUUCCUCCAACCGCUAGAUUUUUUUUCUCUUUGCCCAUCUUUCCCAGUACCUGGCCGUCAAUUUUUUUCCCCAGUACCCACAAUGUGCGAAGAUGCGGUCGUUCGCUUUAGCGCCAGCGGCACGUGCUGUCGAGGUAGUACCUUCCGGUUCUGCACCUUUAGUCUGUAUCCAGAUCCAGGUUCGCCCAAGUAUGUUCAUCAGUUCAUACGUUUAGGAAGUUGAUUUCUUCAUCAUCCACUGUUUGUUGUGGGCUUUCGCAUCCACCAUCAAAAUCAUAUAGAUAAAGCCAUAAAGGUUGACGUCUCUCUAUGGAGAAACAAUUUCCGCCAUCAUACUACGUCCUACCAUUUCUUGAUGCCUUACUACAUCCUCGCAUUGCCCACAGAUUAUGUUAUGAUGUGCAGGAUAUUUUUCUUUCUCCCUUCUUUGUGCUCUCAGACCUCCGGCCGUUCGUCACUAAUGCUUUUUUUCUUUUCUUACUGCCUGUAAAGUCAUAGUACAAGGCUGUACUUGAAUCCAGCAACGGGAACAUUUCUCAUCAAGUACCAUAGACUUCUUCCUCUUCCCUUGCAUGUACUCCCAUUUUUGGCUCGCCCUCUCACAAUCUAUAUAAAUUUAGUAGUUAAUUUCUAAAUUGAGAUCAGUUAUUGUUCAUGUUUGUGUUUUCUCAAUGUUCCCGUUAAUAACUUUAUAUAGGAAUAAUAGCAGAACCAUCUUGAUCUCGAUGCCGCAUGGAGAUGCAUAUUUAGACACAUAUUUGGUGCUCCUGUUUAGCAUAAGUAGAAAAGCACUAGCUCCAUUGAUGAUUAAUUUAGGAGGAGACACACCUGUUGUGACUACUACUAGGUUCUAAGCAAAUACAACUGCCAAUCCUGAUAUGCCAAUGGAUCGGUUUUAAGUUCAAAUAUGCUAACUAUUUCAAAUAUGUGGAAUACCAGAUCAAAAAAAUAUGCUAACGGAUUGGUUCAAACUUCAAAUAAAUAUGCCCAGUUAUUGCUGCCAUGUCAUUCUAGCUUCAAGGGAUUCAAAUUUCAUCAAAUAUUUAUAUUAUUCAACUGUUUCAAAUAUAUCAUAGCUUUUNNNNNNNNNNNNNNNNNNNNNNNNNNNNNNNNNNNNNNNNNNNNNNNNNNNNNNNNNNNNNNNNNNNNNNNNNNNNNNNNNNNNNNNNNNNNNNNNNNNNGUCUAUGUAUUCACACAUGUAUCACUGUUUCCGGUUAAUACAAUUAUAGCAUGAACAAUAGACAAUUAUCAUGAACAAGGAAAUAUAAUAAUAAUCAUUUUAUUAUUGCCUCUAGGGCAUAUUUCCAAUAGUCUCCCACUUGCACUAGAGUCAAUAAUCUAGUUACACUGUGAUGAAUCGAACACCCAUAGAGUUGUGGUGUUGAUCAUGUUUUGCUCGCGGAAGAGGUUUAGUCAACGGAUCUACGACAUUCAGAUUCGUAUGCACUUUGCAAAUAUCUAUGUCUCCAUCGUGAACAUUUUCAUGAAUGGAGUUGAAGCGACGCUUGAUGUGCCUGCUCUUCUUGUGAAACCUGGGCUCCUUGGCAAGGGCAAUAGCUCCAGUGUUGUCACAGAAGAGAGUGAUCGGCCCCGAUGUAUUGGGAAUAACUCCUAGGUCAGUGAUGAACUCCUUCAUCCAGAUUGCUCCAUGCGUUGCUUCCGAGGCUACCAUGUACUCCGCUUCACAUGUAGAUCCCGCCACGACGCUCUGCUUGCUGCUGCACCAGCUUACUGCCCCAACAUUCAAAAUAUACACGUAUCCGGUCUGUGACUUGGAGUCAUCCAGAUCUGUGUCGAAGCUAGCAUCGACGUAACCCUUUACGACAGCUCUUCGUCACCUUCAUAAAUGAGAAACAUAUCCUUAGUCCUUUUCAGGUACUUCAGGAUAUUCUUGACUGUUGUCCAGUGUUCCAUGCCGGGAUUACUUUGGUGUCUUGCAACCAAACUUACGACAAGGUUUACAUCAGGUCUGGUACACAGCAUUGCAUACAUAAUAGACCCUAUAGCCGAGCAUAGGGGAUGACACUCAUCUUUUCACUAUCUUCUGCCGUGGUCGGGCAUUGAGCCGAGCUCAAUUUCACACCUUGCAACACAGGUAAGAACCCCUUCUUGGACUGAUCCAUAUUGAACUUCUUCAAUAUCUUAUCAAGGUAUGUGCUUUGUGAAAGACCUAUGAGGCGUCUCGAUCUAUCUCUAUAGAUCUUGAUGCCUAAUAUGUAAGCAGCUUCUCCAAGGUCCUUCAUUCAAAAACACUUGUUCAACUAGGCCUUUAUGCUGUCCAAAAGUUCUAUAUCAUUUCCCAUCAAAAGUAUGUCAUCCACAUAUAAUAUGAGAAAUGCUACAGAGCUCCCACUCACUUUCUUGUAAAUGCAAGCUUCUCCAUAAGUCUGCAUAAACCCAAACGCUUUGAUCAUUUCAUCAAAGCAAAUGUUCCAACUCCGAGAUGCUUGCACCAACCCAUAAAUGGAUCGCUGGAGCUUGCAUACCUUGUUAGUAUUCUUAGGAUCGACAAAACCUUGCGGCUGCAUCAUAUACUAUUCUUCCUUGAGAUAGCCGUUAAGGAAUGCCGUUUUAACGUCCAUUUGCCAUAUCGCAUAAUCAUAGUAUGCGGCAAUUGCUAACAUGAUUCGGACGGACUUCAGCUUUGCUACGGGAACUUGUCGUAGUCAACUCCUUGAACUUGUCUCAUCGUAGUCAACUCCUUGAACUUGUCGAUAACCUUAGCGACAAGUCGAGCCUUAUAGAUGGUAAUAUUACCAUCCGCGUCCGUCUUCUUCUUAAAGAUCCAUUUAUUUUCUAUCGCUCGCCGAUCAUCGGGCAAGUCUGUCAAAGUCCAUAAUUUGUUUUCAUACAUGGAUUGCAUGGCUUCAAGCCAUUUGUUGAAAUCUGGGACCGCCAUCGCUUCUUCAUAGUUCGAAGGUUCACCGUUAUCUAGCAACAUGAUUUCUAGGACAGGGUUGCCAUACCAUUCCGGUGUGGAACGUGUCCUUGUGGACCUACGAAGUUCAGUAGAAACUUGAUCCGAAGUACCUUGAUCAUCAUCAUUAACUUCCUCUCUAGUCGGUGCAGGCACCACAGGAACAUCUUCCUGAGCUGNNNNNNNNNNNNNNNNNNNNNNNNNNNNNNNNNNNNNNNNNNNNNNNNNNNNNNNNNNNNNNNNNNNNNNNNNNNNNNNNNNNNNNNNNNNNNNNNNNNNCAGGGUUAACAUCAUCUAUUCGAAUAGCCGUGUCCGCGGAAAAGGACUUCUGGGUUGCUUAUAUCAGUUCAUAGACAAGUGAAAGUGGAUACUCUAAAAUACGCAAGAUAAGCGUGAGUGCUAUGGAUGGCGUUCUCGUAGGGAGACGGGAGCGGAUCCAUAGUGGUGUAUUGAUAUGGUGAAUAUGUGGACUCGUGUGCGCCACCUCAAAAGAGUUACAUUGCAGUCGUAGUUCAGGAUAGCCACCGAGUCAAAGCUGGCUUGCUGCAGUUAAACCCCACCAUCCCCUUUGUUGAUAAUGAUGCAUAUGUAGUUAGUUCUGAUGUAAGUCUUGCUGGGUACAUUUGUACUCACGUUUGCCUAUUUUAUGUUUUUGCAGAGAGACUUCAGUCUCACUAGUAGUUCCGCUUGGACUUCGACGUUUAGCUUGUUACCUCAGCUACGAUCUUGUGCCUCGGCAGGAUUGGUAGAUAGUCAGGCUUCUCAGCCUUUUUCAGUUAUAGAUGUCUGUACCCAGACAUGAUAGCUUCCGUUUGUGCUUUGACUUGUAUGCUCUGAUUGUUGGGUUAUGAGACCCAUGUUUGUAAUAUCUCGCUCCUCGGAGCCUAUUGAAUAAAUACUUGAGUCGUAGAGUCAUGUUGUGAUGCCAUGUUGUAUUUGCACAUAUCGAGCAUAUUGUGUGUAUGUUAUUGAAAUGCUCGGUAUGUGUGGGAUCUGACCAUCUAGUUGUUUAUCUUUAGUAGCCUCUCUUACCGGGAAAUGUCUCCUAGUGUUUCCACCGAGCCAUGGUAGCUUGCUACUGCUCCGGAACACUUAGGCUGGCCGGCAUGUGUCCUUCUUCGUUCCUGUGUCUGUCCCUUCGGGGAAAUGUCACGCGAUGAAUACUGGAGUCCUGUUAGCCCGCUACAGCCCGGUUCACCGGAGUCCUGCUAGCCCAGCGCUACAGCCUGGAUUCACUCGCUGAUGACCGACACGUUCGAUGCUGGGUCAUGGAUGCCUGUCCCUGUAAGUUUGUGCCACUUUGGGUUUACAACUAGCCAUGUCAGCCCGGGCUCUUUAUCAUAUAGAUGCUAGCGACACUGUCAUAUACGUGUGCCAAAAGGCGCAAACGGUCCCGGGUAAAGGUAAGGCGACACCCGUGGGAAUACCGUGCGUGAGGCCGCAAAGUGAUAUGAGGUGUUACAUGCUAGAUCGAUGUGGCAUUGAGUCGGGGUCCUGACAGCGUUGGUAUCAGAGCUUGACUGCCUGUAGGUUACCAAGCCAAACUGGUCGAAGUUGAGUCUAGAAAUUCUUUAGUUAUAUAAGGGAAUUGAUUGUGGGAUGGAACGUAAGGCUCUUUUUACUCCUUAUACCUCAUGCCCUUCUGAUCUGAGUCAUCUUAUCCUUCCUGCGGGGAUUAAGAACUAGGCUAUCUCUUCUUUCUAUCAGGAUCACGUGUUACUAAUCCGUAGACUUAUAAGAUUUUUGGACUUAAGCCUCUGUUCAGUUUUUACUGCUUCCGUAUGUUAAUUGUUGAUCUCGAAACCGUGAUAUUGUGCUUCUGAGUGGUUAUGCCACCAUUUUUGUGAAUGUCUCAAAUUUUUUCUGAGCAUUUACAGCCGUUAUGCUGUCCGAGUCAUCCCAGGUUUCUAAAUAGUCUGAAGCAUUUGCAAAAUCCCUUCCUCCCGUUCCGAUGUUCCUUUGGGCCAGAUUAACCACGCUAAUCGGUGAGUUGAGGUACUUUAUUGCCUUGACAUAUAUGUUGGAGCUGGUAUUAUGACCCUAGGUGUCUUAGGGGAUCACCUAGUAAUUUAGCCAUGAUUUGUGUUCCCAGUGUGAUGAUUCUGGCCAUCAUUCUCGAAAGCAUCCCGUGAUGCUACUUAGUAAUAGGUAUUCUGUUCCUGGGUUCUUGAACCCGAGAUUCACUCUACCUACUUNNNNNNNNNNNNNNNNNNNNNNNNNNNNNNNNNNNNNNNNNNNNNNNNNNNNNNNNNNNNNNNNNNNNNNNNNNNNNNNNNNNNNNNNNNNNNNNNNNNNUCACAACGUAACUGGGUGGCUAUAAAGGUGCACUACGGGUAUCUCCGAAAGUGUCUGUUGGGUUGGCACGAAUCGAGACUGGGAUUUGUCACUCCGUGUAACGGAGAGGUAUCUCUGGGCCCACUCGGUAGGACAUCAUCAUAACGUGCACAAUGUGACCAAGGGGUUGAUCACGAGAUGAUGUUAAGGGACGAGUAAAGAGACUUACCGGUAAUGAGAUUGAACAAGGUAUCGGUAUACCGGCGAUCGAAUCUCGGGCAAGUACAAUACCGCUGGACAAAGGGAAUUGUAUACGGGAUUGAUUGAGUCCUCGACAUCGUGGUUCAUCCGAUGAAAUCAUCGUGGAACCUGUGGGAGCCAACAUGGGUAUCCAGAUCCCGCUGUUGGUUAUUGACUGGAGAACGUCUCGAUCAUGUCUGCAUGGUUCCCGAACCCGUAGGGUCUACACACUUAAGGUUCGAUGAUGCUAGGGUUAUAGGGAAUAGAUAUACGUGGUUACCGAAUGUUGUUCGGAGUCCCGGAUUAGAUCCCGGACGUCACGAGGAGUUCCGGAAUGGUCCGGAUGGAAAACUUUAUAUAUGGGAAGUCCUGUUUUGGUCACCGGAAAAGUCUCGGGUGUUAUCGGUAAUGUACCGGGACCACCGGGAGGGUCCCGAGGGUCCACCAAGUGGGGCCACCGGCCCCAGAGGGCUGCGUGGGCCAAGUGUGGGAGGGGACCAGCCCUAGGUGGGCUGGUGCACCUCCCCACAAGGGCCUAAGGCGCCUAGGGUUUGGGGAGGGGGCGCCCCACCUUGCUUGGGGGGCAAGUUUCCCCCUCUCCCCCCCCCUUGGCCGCCACCCUAGAUGGGUUUUGGGCUGCCGCACCCCUAGGGGUGGGAACCCUAGAGGGGGCGCAGCCCCCUCCCUCUCCCCUAUAUAUACUUGAGGUUUUGGGGCUGCCAGAGAAAACGAGUACCACCUCUCCCUGGCGCAGCCCUACCUCUCUUUCUCCUUGUCUCUCGCGGUGCUUGGCGAAGCCUUGCUGGAUAACCACGCUCCUCCAUCACCACCACGCCGUUGUGCUGCUGCUGGAUGGAGUCUUCCUCAACCUCUCCCUCUCUCCUUGCUGGAUCAAGGCAUGGGAGACGUCACCGGGCUGUACGUGUGUUGAACGCGGAGGUGCCGUCCGUUCGGCACUAGGAACACUGGUGAUUUGGAUCACCACGAGUAUGACUCCUUCAACCGCGUUCUCUUGAAUGCUUCCGCUUAGAGAUCUACAAGGGUAUGUAGAUGCUCUCUCCUUCCCCUCGUUGCUAGAUUACUCCAAAGAUUGAUCUUGGUGUUGCGUAGAAAAUUUUGAAUUUCUGCUACGUUCCCCAACAUAGAGGAGGAGACUACUUUUCAUGCUCUGAUUGCAUGCACGCAGGCAAGGACCCUAUGGAUUAAUAUGCGCAGAAGAUGGCCGCUACCUAAUGAUGAUGUUCUCAUUGAUAAUGGGAAGGAAUGGCUCAUGUUCCUUCUCAGCUCCUGUUCUGAGGUGGUUGCAGAUAUGGUGAUUAUGCAGAUCCGUAAUGAUAUACACCAUGGCAAGGAAGCUCCUCUGAUGCUUGCCUCAGUCGAGUUCUUGGAUAGUUACUAUAAAUCUAUUAGCCUAGCGGGCAAGUUCAUAGUGGAGGAGAUUGUUAAAGGCAAAAUGCCCUCCGUAGCCCUGCUGUCGCCGCACCAAAAAGCUUCAUCGGUCGCCAUGCCGUGGCCGGCACCACCGCAAGGUUCCGUUGCCCUGUUCGUCGAUGGUUCAUUCCAUCCGGAGGACGGCACCGCGGCGGUCGGGAUGGUCCUAAGGAACUAUGAAGGGGUGAUUCUUUUUGCUGCAUACCGAUAUGUCUUUCACUGCAAUGAUUCUCUGGAGGCGGAACUACAUGCGAUAAUGCAAGGUANNNNNNNNNNNNNNNNNNNNNNNNNNNNNNNNNNNNNNNNNNNNNNNNNNNNNNNNNNNNNNNNNNNNNNNNNNNNNNNNNNNNNNNNNNNNNNNNNNNNGGUGCAGCAUGAAGAUCAUCCAGCGGAUCUCGGAAGCCAGCAGCGGAGAAGCAGCGUGGCUUCCACGGAGGCCCCACCGGCUGGUGCAGAUGCACCGACGAUCGAAAUUACUGCACCGGAGCCUCUGGUGGUCGAAAUUACUGCACCGGAGCCUCUGGUGGUCGAAAUUACUGCACCGGAGCCUCCUCGCUACCCCGUGGACGAUAUAAAGGAGAUGAAAGAAUGUCAUCUGUAUUAUCCUAUCGGGAACAUGUCCAUGAAGGUAGCCAUCGGCAGUGCUUUACCAUGUUUACCUGGAGCACUCCACCACAACAACCCCAUUCAAGAUGGCUAUGCUCGUGUCACGGUGGAGGACAUAGUCCAAGGGUUUGAGGACCUGGAGAUUGACAUUGCUACACCUGAAGGGGAGAAAAGACUUGGAGAUGUCAAGCGCCAUUUCAUUCUAUGGCAAAAGAAGUUUAUCAAGUUUCCAGGCGAGGCGCCAAGUACAACAAGUCCACCCCCCUACGGUGGUGGUGGUGGCGGUGGCGGUGGUGGUGGUGGUGGUGGUGGUGGCGGUUCACCUACACCUCCGUCACGUCAGCCGACGCCGCCCCACAGUCCACAACGUCCGGCGGGUGAUCAUCCGCCGCCCCCCAGUCCUCGUCCGGCGGGUGAUCAGACGCCGCCCCCCAAUCCACCUACGGCAAAGAAGCAGAAGCAGUCCUGGAUUAUUAACCCGGACCCUUAUGUACCUAAGACCACAAAGGUACUGGAGCCAUCACUGAAGCCUCUCCCCACAAGGCCUUGGGAACGUAGUGCCGAGGAAGUCGACGCGGCCGCGGCUGCUGAUUUGGAGAAAUGGAAGGCGGACUGCAAGAAGAAAAGAGAGCCCGAGCCCAAGCCAGUAUUUUCUGAUGAGCAAAAGAAGUGGGCUAAGUCAUUUUUUAGCACACCGUCCCAAGCCGCGAAGAAUCUUCCUAACGACUAUGCACGUGAACUUCGCAGGCAGGCACUCAUGUUCAAGGAGAACAAAGAGCGGGAGAAGGCCGAAAGUAAAAAAAGCGGGAAACAAGUUGCCCAGCUCGGGGAACAAAGUAAACAAUCGAUUGCCCCGCUUAUAGUGGAAGCCUUCUGUCCGGAUGCCCCCGAGAUCAUACAAGCUGCGGCAGCACAGGGAUUGACUGUAACGAGUGCCAGAGAACAAGCGGCCAACUUAGGUAUUACUCUUCGUGAACUGUUAGGCCUUGAUGAGGCGCCAGUGAAGGAGGUAGUAAUUACAUAUGUCAAGAAUGGGCCUCUCGUCGAGCCUGCGCAGGAAAAGGAUCUACCUCCACAAAUGAAAGGUCUGCUGAAUUGGUACAAGGGUUACAUAAAAAAUAAAAACGCCAAAGAAUAUAUUUAUGCGGAAGUUAGACAUGAGCAUCACUUCAAACAUUACUAUGUACAAAUUGCACUGAGUGAAUUGUUCCAGCUUUUCAAUCUGCGCGAGCUCGACAAAUCUAUCAUCAGUUGCUACGUUCUGUAAGUGAUUUAUUAAUUUCUACCCCAUCUCGUUCAUAUUGCCUGCACUAUAUAUAUGUCCUAACUAUAUUGUUGUGUCCGCUAUUAUACAUGCAGAAUGAAGAUUAAGGAAUGCAGAGUAAGGAACAUCCAUGAUGUUGGGUUCAUUGACCCACACAUCGUUAAUGGACAUGUGUUGGAGCGUCACCCCGCCGACGUGGAGGCAGACCUGUGGCAGUUUCUUACAAAGCAGGAACUCAAAAGUGAUAUUCUAUUUCCUUACCAUUUUGGGUGAGUGUUUCUGUCUUGAGCACAUUCUCUUUUGUUUACUCCAUGCAUGGUAUGUGGCCGGCUAAUCGAUGAGUUAUGCAUGACGUACUGUGCAUGUAUCGUGUCCGCA